AUCCUGCUACUGUGAACAAAUAUGCUAGGCGUGCUCAAUCGGGUGAAGUUUUUGAAUUAGAUCGUGCUACUUUGAAAUACGAUGGUGUUUUUCGUAGCAGUCCAAGGGGUUGUUUUACUUUUGGGCAUGCUUCGUUUGCUUUGCUCUUCUUCUUCGGACACGUUUGGCAUGGUGCUAGAACCUUGUUCAGAGAUGUUUUUGCUGGUAUUAACCCAGAUUUAGAUGCUCAAGUGGAAUUUGGAGCAUUCCAAAAAAUUGGAGAUCCAACUACAAAAAGACAGGCAGCCUGAUACAACAUUGCUUUGGUAUCUUUCUUUCGCCCUUAUUUUCUUUCUUUUACUUUUAUUGACAUUUUGGCAUGGUGCUAGAACCUUGUUCAGAGAUGUUUUUGCUGGUAUUGACCCAGAUUUAGAUGCUCAAGUGGAAUUUGGAGCAUUCCAAAAAAUUGGAGAUCCAACUACAAAAAGACAAGCAGCCUGAUACAACAUUGCUUUGGUAUCUUUCUUUCGCCCUUAUUUUCAUUCUUUUACUUUUAUUGACAUAGGGUACCAGAGAAAAAAGAAAGGGCAGAAAGAAGGAACAGGAAGAAGGAACAGGAUCAACGAAGGAGAAACAAAGGAACUACCAAAUCCAUGGUUGCUGCAUUGGGAGAUACGUCAGAUGAAGACUCAAAAAAUGAAGCUGAAGAUGAGCAAGCUCUUAUGGCCAUUUGAGAAUCAGAAGAUGAUCAAGAGGUAAGUAUUUGACAUCUUAAAGAAAGGAUUAAAUUCCUGCCUAAAGAAAAAUGGGCUGAGCUCUUGAUGGACUUCUUGAGUCUGAAAUAAUAAACAGUGAGAAAUAUGUUCUGUCUAGGGAUUGUGUAAUACUAGAAGAAAAAUGCAAAAGGCUAGAAUCUAGGGCUGAUGAGAGUAAUAGCUAAAAUACUGAGUUGAAGAACCAGGUUCUUCUACUGGAAAAUAGUGUCUUAGAACUAAAGUUUGAAAACAUAAAACUGAAAAUAGGGACAGGAAAGAAAAAGGUUGAUCAAUCAUUUCUCACACUGGAAGAAAAUUUAGGAAAAAUGAGAGAUGAGCUGUAUAAGAAAGAUGAAUCAAUCAUGGUCCUUAAAGAAGAAUUAGGAAAGGUGAAGCAUGAACUAGACAAAACAUGUAAAUGGAACAAGGCUUAUGAUGCACUCUCCUAGGUGCAAGAGCAUCACAGCAGCAACAAGGGAUGACUUGGGUUUCGGACACAAGCUCCAAAAUGGGAUCCCAAAAACAAGUACCUCACUCUUCAUGAGAAUAAGAUCUGUACAUAUUGUGGUAAGACUGGCCAUUAAAAAAUAUGAAUGCAAUGCAAAAGAAAAGGCCAGUCAAAAGAACAAAGCUUUCGUUCAAGAAAAACGCAAACUGCCUGGUUGGGCAAAGGAAAAUUUAAUUCAUCGUUUUUCCCAUAUAAAGGGACCCAAACUAGUUUGGUUUCCUAAGACUAACCCCUAAUUUUAUUUUGCAUAUCAAAGUGAAAGGAAGUAUCCAAAUAUGGUAUAUGGAUAGUGGCUGCACAAAACAUAUGACUGGUAACAAGGACUAGUUUCUUUCACUGGAGAACCUAAAAGGAGGAAAUGUCUCCUCUGGAAAUGGGAAUAAAGGUGAGAUUAUUGGGGUUGGAAAUGUAGGAAAGACAGACUCUCAUUCCAUUGAGAAUGUUUAUUUGAUAGAUGGCUUGAAAUAUAGCCUGAUAAGUGUUUCACAACUGUGUGACAGAGGUAAUCUUGUGGCUUUCACUUCCACAAAAUGUUUUGUGAUUAGCCUUACCACUGACAAGAUUAUUUUGCAGGGAAAGAGAGUCUUUUGGCUUUCACUUCCAUAAAAUUUAUUGUGAUUAGCCUUACUACUGAAAAGAUUGUUUUGCAGGGAAGAACAGUUAACAAUAUUUACAUUGUAGAUUUGUCGACUCUUUCUGAGAAAUGAAAUUACUUGUCUGAGUGUCUUAAUUAAUGAUCGCCUCCUUUGGCACAAAAGACUUGGUCAUGCUAGUCUAAAUCAAUUAAAAAAACUAGUUUCCAAGGACUUGGUGAUAGGGUUACCUAAUAUAAGGUUCAAGGAAGACAACGUUUGUGAGGCAUGUGCAAGGGGGAAGCAGGUAAGUUCAUCCUUCAAACCUAAGAAAAUGGUAAGCUCAUUCAAGACGUUGGAACUGGUUCAUAUGGAGCUCUGUGGUCCAAUGAGAGCCCUGAGAAGAGGUGGUAAUAGAUAUGUAAUGGUGCUUGUUGAUGAUUAUUCUAGAUUUGCCUGGGUGCUGUUUCUAACUUCUAAAAAUGAAGCAUUUGAAAUGUUCACAGCUUUUGUUAGAAAAAUCCAGAAACAAUUAGGAAAUCAACNNNNNNNNNNNNNNNNNNNNNNNNNNNNNNNNNNNNNNNNNNNNNNNNNNNNNNNNNNNNNNNNNNNNNNNNNNNNNNNNNNNNNNNNNNNNNNNNNNNNNNNNNNNNNNNNNNNNNNNNNNNNUUUUGUUAUGAAAAUGGAAUAGAUCAUAAUUUCUCUGCCCCUAGGACUCCUACGAAAAAUGGGGUAGUUGAAGGGAAGAACAUGACCCUUGAGGAUAUGGCUAGGACCAUGCUACUUUCCUGUAAACUACCUCAUAGCUUUUGGGCAGAGGCUAUAAACACAGCUUGCUAUAUAAUUAAUAGAUGUAUGAGCAGACCUCUUGUAGAGAAAAAUCCCUAUGAGUUACAUAAGGGAGAAAACCAAACAUAUCCCAUCAUAGGGCUUUUGGUUGCAAGUGCUAUGUGCACAAUAAUGGCAAAGAAUACCUAGGUAAGUUUGAUCCCAAAAGUGAUGAGGGAGUAUUCUUGAGAUAUUCUUCACAUAGCAAAGCAUAUAAAGUGUUUAAUAAAAGAACUCUGUGUGUUGAAGUUAUGAGGGAGUAUUCUUGGGAUAUUCUUCACAUAGCAAAGCAUAUAAAAUGUUUAAUAAAAGAACUCUAUGUGUUGAGGAAAUUGUACAUGUUUUGUUUAAUGAAUCUAACACUCUUUCUGAGAGACAGGAAAGAGUGUACAAAAUUCUCCCUGGGCAACCUAACAGGGGGAACCAAUUCGAGAGAAACUGUACAAAAUUCUCUGAAGGAUCUCGUACCUGAACCUACUCCUAUACAACAUAAUAAUGAAGGAGAAGCUAUCAGAAACCAGCCGAUGGGGAAAUCUUACAGGUACCUGAGUUCUCACCCCAUUGAGAACAUAAUCAAUGAUCCCACAUCUAGAGUCAAGACUAGAUCACAACUGAAGAUAUUAUGUGCAUUUGAUGCCUUUUUGUCCCUAAUUGAACCUAAAAUGUGAGUGAAGCUCUACAAGAUGUAUAUUGUAUCAAUGCUAUGCAAGAAGAACUCAAUCAAUUUGAAAGAAGACUAGUCUGGCACCUGGUUCCAAGACCUAAGGGCAGGUUAGUCGUUGUGACAAAAUGGGUCUUCAAAAACAAGCUAGAUGAAGAUGGAACAGUUGUAAGAAACAAGGCAAGGUUGGUGGUUCAAAGUAAUAGUCAAGAGGAAGGCAUUGAUUAUGAUGAGACUUUUGCUCUAGUUGCUAGACUUGAAGCAAUUAGACUCCUCAUAGCCUUGCAGCUCAUAUGGAAUUCACUCUUCAUCAAAUGGAUGUGAAAAGUGCCUUCCUAAAUGGCUAUCUCAAAGAAGAGGUGUUUGUGAAGCAACCUCCUAGAUCCGAAAGCAAAGAAUGUACUGACCAUGUAUACAAGCUGGAUAAAACUCUCUAUGGUCUCAAGCAAGCUCAAAGAGCUUGGUAUGAAAGAUUGUCAAAUUCCUUCUGGAGCAUGGGUACAAAAGAGUUAAAAUUGAUAGCACCUUGUUUCUAAGGGAAAAAGGUAAAGAUCUUCUGUUGUACAAAUUUAUGUCGAUGACAUAAUUUUUGGGGCUACUACAGAGAGGUUGACUAAGGACUUUGCAAAACUAAUAGGCAGUGAAUUUGAAAUGAGUAUGAUGGGAGAACUCAAUUUCUUCUUAGGUUUGCAAAUGAAACAAAGUCCAAACAGUUUCAUGAUUCAUCAUCAAAAGUACACGAAAGAACUAAUCAAGAAAUUUAAAAUGGAAGAAUCCAAAGAAAUAGAUACUCAUAUUGCAACUUCCACAAAGUUAGAUGUUGAUGAACCUGGUUCAUUAGUUGAUUAAAAGUUGUACGGGGGUAUGAUUGAUUCACUUUUUUAUCUUACUGUCAGUAGACCUAACAUUGUUUUCAGUGUAGGACUUUGUGCUUGAUUCCAGGCAAAUACGAAGGAGUCACACUUGAUUGCAGUCAAAAGAAUAUUAAGAUACAUAAAAGGCGCAAUUGAUCCGUGUUUGUAGUAUCCUUAAAGUAGCAAUUUUGACUUAAUUGGAUAUGAUGAUGUUGAUUAUGCAGGAUAUAUAGUGGAUAGGAAGAGUACUUCAGGAAUGGCACACUUCUUAGGAUCUUGUCUUGUAUCAUGGGCUACCAAAAAGCAGAAUUCAGUGGCCCUCUCUACUACUGAAGCUGAGUAUGUUGUUGCUGCUUCAUGCUGUGCUCAGUUGCUUUGGAUCAAGCAACAAUUGGUAGAUUUUGGAAUUCAAGUGGGAUGCAUACCUAUAUUUUGUGAUAACACUAGUGCAAUCAGUAUGACAAAGAACCAUGUUCAUCAUAACAACAAUUGGUAGAUUUUGGUAUUGAAGUGGGAUGCAUACCUAUAUUUUGUGAUAACACUAGUGCAAUCAGUAUGACAAAGAACAUUGUUCAUCAUAAAAAGACGACGUACAUAGAUGUUAGACACCACUUCUUAAGGGACAACUAUGAAAAGGGGCUAAUCUUUAUAGAAUUCUAUGCAACUGAUAAACAAAUAGCUGACAUCUACACCAAGGCACUAAGUUUAGAAAAAUUUGAGAGGAACAUGUUGGAAUUAGGGAUGAUUAAGAUCACCUAAGAGGUCAUGUUCAGAAUGCACAAUGAAAAAAAAAUGAAAUAUUUUUUUUUUGUAGGGAUGAUUAAGAUCACCUAAGAGGUCAUGUUCAGAAUGCACAAUGAAAAAAAAAAUGAAAUAUUUUUUUUUUGGUUUGGAGUUCUUAAUUCUUGUGAAUAUUAGACUAAUUUUUACUCAGUACCAUACUGUAAAUAGUAUACUCCUAUGACAUAUAUUUAUGUGACUCACUCAUCUCUUACAAAUUCUCUAUUUUUGAUAUUUCAGGCAUAAUCAAGACAAGUUUCAUUUGAAGAACCUAGUUCAUCAAUGCAUUCUCAUGAGAAAGAUCAGGUAUAUUUCUAUACUUUGCACAAAUAGAAAAUUUUAAUUUCCAAUCAUGGGAAAAACUCCUAGAAAACCCAAUCGUCAUAAAAUUCUAUCCGUUGAGGCAAAUUGAACCAGUUUCAUUGAAGUUAGAAUUCUAAGUGUAACGGAACUCUAUCUCCUAAACCUUAGCAAUUCUAAUUAAUCGUAAUAAAUAACUAGGGAGACCAGAACUAUAAGCUUAUUAGACCUCUGCUGACACCUGAAAAACUUCCGUUACUGGAACUAUAAUGACCACUCUUUAAAACACCCAAUAAACAUUCAUAACCGUCAUCUCAAAACUCUGAUCAUCCACUCUCUUCUCUGAACCCUCAAAAAUUGUCCAAAAUUUUCUCAAUCCUUACAGAAAUUCUUUGCCAAAAAUGUCGAAUCCCCAAGAUAAUCCUGCAACCCCACCACCAGUGUCACCUAACACCACUUCAUCAUCCACACCUACUAGUGAAUCCCCAAAGCCUAGAUUCCAUCGCACAAAAAUGAUAGCAAGAAAAGCUGUUGCGACUGGUCCCUUGAUGAAAGAUCUAAACGAAAGAUUGAAGGCUAGUCAAAAGAAAGAAUCUCCAGCAUAACAAACUGAUUCCAGUUCUGAGUCUGAUGAUUACAUCUAUGCCAGUAAAGGAGAUGAACCUAGGCCUUGUGACAAUGUCACUCAUCAAGAAACACCAAAAGAGGUAAAUUCAAGUGUUGUUUCUAAUGACUUAGGGGAAAGGGUAGAAAAUAGGUAUGUUCUGAUAGGGGCUGCUAAAGAUGUUGCUAUGGGUGAUUCUAUGAAAUGGAAGAAAAAUAAGAGGAAGAAGGUGCUAGCCAUAUGUGGGAGUGGGGAAGAAGGGGUCUCGAAGUCAGGGGGAAGUAAUGAUGAAAAAUAAGAGAAAGCAGGUGCUAGCUAUAUGUGGGAGUGGGGAAGAAAGGGCCUCGAAGUUAGGGGGAAGUGAGUCUGGAGAGGCUGCUGAAAGGUUUGUUGGUUUGACCAAAAAAUCUGUUGAACCUGGUCUAUAUGUAGAGGAAACUCUAUUUGAGAUGACUAAGAAGGUUGGGGCUAGUAUUGAUCCCACGAAACGCAAGGCUUCCUCAUAAACGACCUCUGUUACGUCCAAACCAACCAAGAAAUCCAAACCCUCAACACCCAUGUCUGCUCCUAAGGUUAUGAAAAUUAGAAGCAAGGUUAGGGAAAGUGAAGCUGAGUUUCAAAAAGAUUUAGAGGAGAGUAAGAGAAAAAGAAAAGAAAAGGGGAAAGGGAAUAUAGGUGAAAUUUCAGAAGUUUCUGCUGAAGAGGAUGAAGAGGAGAUGAAACUGGUCCAUCAAGAAAGAAAUACUACUGUGCAGGUUCCACUUGCAAAACCAAAGGAGACUAGGACUUCCUCAAUGAAGCCCUCAAAACCAGUUCCUGCUGAAUCCUCUCUUGCCAAGGGAACGGGAUCAUCGACUAAGGUAAAACAUCUGAAAGUAUCCAUAGAAGAAGAAGAAGAUGAAAGUGAGUCAAAAGAAGAACAAGAUAAGUAUGCAAACUUUGAUAAAAGAAAGAUAUUGAAGGGGAGAUUGCUGAAAGACAUAGAGGAGCUAGGUAUGAUAAGGCUUGUCACAACACUGGAGGCUCAAGGCUAGAAGGACAUGGUCCUUCAGAUUGAUGGAAAAUUUGCAAGUAAGGAACUAGUCGAUAUUAUGGCCUAUAGAAAGGUGAAGAAUGGUCGGGUGACCAGUACAAUGAGGGUUGGUAAAGUGAAAUUCAAUACUGAAAAUUGGGAAAACUUCUGUGUAUUCCUUGUGAGGAAUAUGAUUAUUAUGCCCAUAAACAAGAAAUUUCUAUGACACCAACACAGCUGAAGAGGUGCCUGAGGCCAGUGCAGUCCAGAAGAUUGAAAUGAGGCCAAAGCAUAAAGUGCUUUUUGAAUUUGUCAAGAAGUUCUUUCUGCCCUGACAGGAAAAAAACAUACAUCUAAUUAUAUGGAUCUGGUGCUCAUGCAGUGUAUGAAUGAAAGGAAAAAUAUCAAAUGUCAUGUCUUUAUGGUGAGUCUUCUUAAAGGUGUGAUAAAUGGUUCAAAGGCUCAUGCCAUUCCCUAUAGUUUUAUCCGACAACUGUGCUUGAAUGCUUGAAUGAUCCUUUGAAAAAGUGGGAAAUGGCCUCAAGCAAGGAGAACUUUGGUGUCAAGACUCUUGAAGCAUGUGACUAUCUGCUCAAUGCUGCCCCUGUUGAACGUGGUUCAUCAACUAAGACUCCUAUGAGUAGCAAGGUCAGAGCCUUAACUCAAGAAGUUGGGACAAAUAAUGCUGAAAUCACUAGGCUAAAUGCCAGAAUUGCUGAUUUGGAGGUAGAAAGAAAUGGGCUAAGAGUUGAAAUCGCCACAGAAAAAGAGAAAAAUGAAGGCAUGCUGAGGAUGAUAUGCCUGAACAAGUGAGUAAAAUGGAAGGAAACUCAAAUUCAGCUGUGCGUUGCUUACACUUCUCAGAAUCUAGUGGUUCCGAGAAACCUACACCAUUUGCUGCUGAUAGUGUCAUAGGUAAUUGUAGCUCACAAAUGGGUAAAACGCUCUCGUUUGUCCCCCUACUUAACGAGAUGGUAAGAAAAUAGUCAAAUUAAGUGAAGAUGAUUUGAAAUCACAGGUUGAUUACUUGAAGACUUCCUUAAUUGGGUACAUAAUUGGUGAGACGCCGUAUGAGAAAACUAUGGACAAGUUUGUGUUGCAUGUGUGGAAUUUCGUUCUAAGCCUCAGAUACUGAUUCACUCUGAGGGUUACUGCCUUUUCAGAUUCAAUACAAUAGAGGACAGAGAUCAAGUUAUUCAACCAGUUCCUUAUUCUUACAGGAAUAAGCCAAUGGUGUUGAAACCAUGGGAAAUUGAUUUCUCUUUCCAAAAGGACAUGCUAAGUACAGUGCCGAUGUGGAUUAGAUUUUCGGGGCUACCUGUAGGCUAUUGGUCAACUGCUGCAUUGAGCAAGUUGGCUAGUGCAGUGGGGAAAACCUUGUAUACAGACAAGGUCACAGCUCAUUAUAAUAAAAUAUCUUAUGCUAGGGUGCUAGUGGAGGUUGAUGCUGCAUACCCUCUACCAGAUCAGAUAGAGAUCGAGACUCCUUUUGGGCUGAAAACUCAGAUGAUUGAAUAUGACUGGAAGCCUAUCUAUUGCAAUCACUAUCUGAAAUUUGGCCAUGAUGCUAUAGAUUGCUGGUAUAAUUCUAGCUUUGAUGAAGAAUAGGUGCUGGAUGAAGGGGGAAGCCAAAGAAACAGAGGAUCAGAAUGAGGAAGUAUGUAAAAUCAGUAAAACAAGAAUGGCUGGUCAAAAAGGAUCGAGAUAGAAAAGAGUUAAAUGCAUAGGAGAAAUUCCCAGAACAAUCAACUAAUAACGAAACUGAGGGGUUGGGGGAAAUCACUAUUACAAUGGUGAUUACUCAACAGGAUGCAAAGCACAAUACUGACAUUCAGGAGCAGAGUGAAACAGUAAAUAGUGAAUCUAUUUCCAAGAUUGAUGAAAUGGAAGUAAAUAGCAGAAAGGGCAAGGGAAUUGUUGAAGUGCUAGAUGCUGGAAGAAGGGGCAACAGAUUGCCCUGGGCCUUCUCAGCACCUAAAUCCCAAGUUGAUAUGAUUAUUGUCACUUGGAAUAUUAGGGGGCUAAACAUAGCCCAUAAGCAGAAAGAGUUGAAGACCUUUCUUGCAAUCAAUAAAGUAGAUAUACUGGGUUGUAUAGAGACUAGAGAUAAGGAACAUAAAGCAAAGAAAUACAAGGGAAGAUUGCAAACGGAUGGAAUGUCCAAUGCAAUUAUUCAAAGGUUAUUAAUGGGAGAAUUUGGCUUCUUUUGAAACCUCAUAUCCAUCUUCAUGUUUCCCAAGUGACUGAUUAAUUCAUUCAGUGAUUCAUUGAAGAUUCCAACAGUCAAUUCAAAACUCACUUCUGUGUCAUUUAUGCUCAGAAUGAUGGCAACCAAAGAGAAUAGUUAUGGAGUGAUCUGAGGCAAAUACAUAUAUCUGGCCAAGACAAUUGGCUGCUGAGUGGUUAUUUUAUUAAUGUCUUAAGUACUGAAGAUAGAAUUGGGUCACCUGUAUCUGAUGCUGAAGUUAAAGGUUUUAGAAGUGUCAUUGAUGAAUUGCAGCUUACUCCUCUCAGGGCAAAAGGAUGGCAUUUCACUUGGACAAACAAGCAGGAUGUUUCAUCAAGGGUAUAUAGUAAGAUUGACUGGAGAUUAGGUAACUAUCAGUGGAUACAACAGUAUGGACACAUUGAAGCUGACUUUAUGAAUCCAUCAAUAUCUGACCACUAUUCUAUCCUUAUCAAAUGUGAUGGCCAGAAGUUGCUUCAUCCAAAGCUUUUCAGAUUGUUUAUCAAUGUUAUGGAAUCCCCUCAAUUCCAAAAUAUUGUACAACAUGUCUGGAGACAGAAUUUUGUGGGUGCACCUAUGCAGCAGAUAUGGAGUAAAUUAAAGAAUAUGAAACAACAGCUAAAGAUCAAUGUUAUGGAAUCCCCUCAAUUCCAAAAUAUUGUACAACAUGUCUGGAGACAGAAUUUUGUGGGUGCACCUAUGCAGCAGAUAUGGAGUAGAUUAAAGUAUAUGAAACAAUAGCUGAAGGAGAUUAAUGCUUAUAUGGCUUCAUAUAGGCAAAAACUUGUACAUGCUAGAGAGAAACUAGAAAUUAUCCAGAACCUGUUGCAGCAAUCUCCAUUACUGCAACCUCUGCUUAAUGAGGAAAGAGCAGCACUUGAAGAGAUCCAGAAAUGGAGUAUUAUGGAGGAAAAAAUAAUGAGGCAGAAAUCCAAAGCUUGCUGGAUCGAAUGUGGUUAUGCUAAUACAAAGUACUUCUAUGCUCAGUGGAAAAUCAUAACCAGUUAAAAUAGCAUAACCUCCAUAUAUACUGAUAUAGGUUUAAAACUGACAGAUCCCAAGGCAGUGGAACAGGAGUUUAUCAGUGUUUUUCAAUCAUUGAUGGGAGAUUGUGCUGGGGAAUUACCAUGUGUAAACACAUCUAUCAUCAAGGAGGGAACCUGUUUGACUCUACCACAACAAAGAAUGCUGAUACAGGAGGUUACAAUGAGAGAGAUCACAGAAGCAAUAAUGGAGAUUCCAAAGGAUAAAGCACCUGGAGUGGAUGGAUUCCCUAUGGAAUUCUUCACUAAGAACUGGGAAUUUGUCAAGAAUGAUAUAUUUGCUGCUACAAAUGAGUUCUUUUCCACCAACAGAAUGCCUCAAAUGAUUAAUACAACAGCUAUUGCACUUGUUUCCAAAGUUAAAGCUCCUUACUACAAAUGAUUUCUUUUCUACAAACAGAAUGCCUCAAAUGAUUAACACAACAGCUAUUGCACUUGUCUCCAAAGUUAAAGCUCCUACAACUGUUAAAGACUACAGGCCCAUAGCUUGCUGGACCACCUUAUAUAAGAUUAUAUCCAAAGUCAUUACUAAUAGAAUGAAGAGUGUUGUUGGUGAUCUAAUUGGACAGGCUCAAUCAGCUUUCAUUGAAGGAAGAAGCAUAGUUGAUAAGAUUCUUCUUAGACAUGAAAUCUUCAAAGGAUAUUCUAGGAAAGGAGUGUCCCCAAGGUGUGUGUUGAAAGUGGAUCUGAGAAAGGCUUAUGAUACUUUUGAAUGGAGUUUUCUUAAGCAGGUUCUUAUUGAUUUAGGUUUCCCUACUUAAUUUGUGCAAUGGAUUAUGGCAUGCGUUACUAAUGUCUCUUAUUCUCUAGUUUUGAAUGGGGGUUUAACAAAACCUUUCAAAGAUAAGAGGGGUAUUAGGCAAGGUGACCCUAUGUCACCUUAUCUAUUUGUGACUGCUAUGGAGUAUUUGAAUAGGGAACUGGGGCAGCUACACAAGAAUGGUGAUUUCAACUUUCAUCCUAAAUGCAGGAAGUUGAAAAAUAUUCAUGUAUGCUUUGCUGAUGACCUAUUAAUGUUUUGCAGAGCUGAUCUUAUCUCUAUUAGAAUAUUAAAGGAGGCUUUCCACAGAUUCUCUGAAGCAUCUGGUCUGCAAGCAAAUGUUAACAAGAGUGCAAUAUAUAUAGCUGGAAUAAAGCAGAAUGUGAGAUAGGUAAUUCUAGGAUCACUGGGUUUUAUUGAAGGAGAGCUGCCAUUUAGAUAUCUGGGGAUACCUUUGGACUCCAAGAAACUGGAACACUGGGUUUUAUUGAAUGAGAGCUGCCAUUUAGAUAUCUGGGAUACCCUUGGACUCCAAGAACAUGGCUAUCUGUCACUAUCUGCAUCUGAUUGAGAAGAUAACAGCCAAGAUAACAUGUUGGUCAGCAAAAUUACUCUCUUACGCUGGAAAAUGUCAGCUGAUCAAAGCUGUCAUAUUUUGAAUUCAAACCUACUAGGUUCAAAUUUUCAUUAUGCCUAAGAAAGUGAUGAAAAUUAUUGAAACUAUCUGCAGAACUUUUUUGUGGACUGGAAGUGCUAAUCCAUCCAGGAAGGCACUAGUUUCUUGGGAAGGGGUAUGCAGACAAAGUACAACAGGUGGACUGAAUAUCCUAGACAUGACGGCAUGGAACAAAGCAUCAAUUUGCAAACAUCUUUGGGAUUUAACGAGAAAUAAGGACUGCCUUUGGAUAAAGUGGGUGCACAGCUACUACAUUAAACAUGAAGCUAUUGAAACAAUGACCACUCCUAUGGCUGCUUUCUUGGGUUGUGAGGAAAAUUCUGGACAGUAGAGAUGCAAUUAUGGGGAAUCAGUUGCUUCAGGGGACUUUGUUUAGCAGACUGCAAGGUAUGUGCAAACUGGAUCACUUUCAGAUCAAGAAGAUGUAUCUCACUCUGAUUGCUAUUUUAGCAAAGUUGAAUGGAAGAACUUGCUGUUGCUUGCCAAUGUUCAUCCUAGACAUCGAUUCACUAUGUGGUUAGCGGCACAACAGAGGCUGCCAACAGUGGAAAGAUUGCAAAAAAUUGGCAUCCAAGUGCCUGCAACAUGUGUAUUCUGUAAGCAGAACAUCGAAUCCUUUAAACACUUAUUUUUUGAAUGCACAAUUACGAGACAUCUAUGGACUAGACUUUGUUUAUGGCUGGGGCAUCAAAGAUUAGUUGGAGACUGGGCAACUGAACUGCAAUAGGUAAACAACAAAGCAAAGAGCAAUGUGGGGUUAAAUGCUAUAACAGCUGGUGUGUUUAUCUGUACUAUUGCAUUAAUCUGGAGGGAGAGAAACAAUAUCAGAUAUGAAAUGAAAGCCUAUGAGGAGAAUCAGAUUCGCAGAGAAAUUGUUUUACAUAUCCAUAUUCGAGGAAGGAAUUGUAGUCGAUGGCAAAAUGUAUUGAGGCAACUAAACAGUUUUCCAUAGAAUAGUUUGUACUAGCUAACUUCUAUACUUAGUUCUAAUUAGUGAGGAGUAGUUAGAUACUUAGUAGAGAUAGUUGUGAUGUAAAGGAGUAGUAGCUAGUCAAAGCUACUACUAGAGCUCUACCUUGUACAUUUUUUUGAUAUUAAUGGAUACAAAAUGUUAAAUCAAAAAAAAAAAUGAAGGCAUGCUCCAGCAAAGGUGAAUUCUGCUACAAGCCCAACCCUCUAGCACUUCCAAGCCUUAGGUUUCUCGUCCUUAGCGACCAGUUUAGCAACCCUUCAGUUUCCAGUUUCCAGUCUAGGAAUUUCUUGUCUGUUCUUAUUAUGUUUUUUGCUCAUGGUUGGAUGUUUUGUUUUUAUUUUUGUGGAUUGCACUAUAGAAAUACCUCUUUAAUCAAUUAAUGCAGCUUGUCUUGUUCUUGUUGAAUUUGUUCUAAAUAGUUAUUUUUAAGCUGAUUUGUGAUUAACUUGACCAUUUGUUCACGUGCAGUCGCCCCAGUGGUCAUGAGUAUUAAUUAACUUUGAGGAUUCACUAUAUUAAUGAAACAUUUCGAUGAUGCCAAAAGGGGGAAGAUUUUGUGCUUAAAUUCUAGUGAUGUUUAUGACUUAAUCUGACCUCCUUGAUGAUAAAUUUUCUAAGUGUUGGUUUUAAGUUGAGUUCACAGGUUUCCUUAUCACAAUAAGCACAGAGUUUGUCAUCAUUAAAAAGGGGGAAAUUGUUGGCCCAAGUUUCAGUUGAAGUUUUUAAGAUUGACAAAUAAACCUAUGGAAGGACCUGGUCCAUCUUGUACUACACAGUCUGAAUUAACCAGGUCACAUGUGUAGUAGGUGAGGAAGAUAAGCACUAAAGAUCAUGCAUCAGUAUCUUCUGAACGUAAUCAAAAAGGUUGCAUUUCGGAUAAGGAGGACAGUCUCCUUAUGUGAAGAGAACUUGAUCCUAAGUUAGGAUGAGAGUUAGAGUUUGUAUUGGCUACGCAUCAAUAUCUUGUGAACGUAAUCGAAAAGGAUGCAUUCGGGAUAAGGAGGAUAGUCUCCUUAUGUGAAGAGAACUUGAUCCUAAGUUAGGAUAAGAGUUAGAGUUUGUAUUGGCUAAGGACUUAAAUGGACUGCGGAUAAUUGUGUUUGUUCUCUUUUACAGGCAACACACACAAGAAAAAGAAAAGCAUAUUUGAGAGAAAAUAAAACGAGUCUGUUUUGUAUGGACUACAGAUAAGAAGUGGAGUUGUAAUCGAACUCUAACUACUAAAUCAAUAUAUUAUUGUGUUGGUUUUCUUUUACAAGCAACACACACGAGCAAAAGUAAAGCAUAUUUGAGAGCAAAUAAAGCGAGUCUAUUUUGCAAGCAAUAUAUGAAGAUACAAGUGUGUACAGCUGAAGCUACAUGAACUAAGAGAGAAGAACCGGUUCCAUCUAAGUGAAUAUUUCUAGUUCAAUUGUAGUAGGUUUUUAUAUUGUACUUUUCCGCUUUAUUAGAAUCAUUUGUAUUAGGUAUCUUGUGUCAUCAAGUUAGAGUUAACUUGAUAGUGUCGCAGCAGCUGAGGCUUUGUGCCACACUGGGAUUAGAGUUUAAUCCUUAGGUUGACAGAGAGUCUUUGUAAAUGUUGUUUGGCUCAUUGAUUUUUAGUGGAGUUUGGGAAAAUCAUACUGAGUAGUAGGUCGUGGUUUUUUUACCUUUCGAGCCGGGUGUUAUCCACGUAAAAAUAUCUGUUCAUUUUACUUUCAGUUCUUAUUAUUCCGCAAACUGCUGUAGUUAGAAGUUAGGUACCAGACAAGUGACCCUUUAUUGUGUGGUAUUGACGUUUAUUAACAUCAAAAGCAAACGGUAAUAAUUUUUGAACCUUUAUGGUAUAAUGGUUUAUAAAUUUGUCGUUAUGUGUGUUCUUGACAGUUCUUGAUAUUUGUGGAUCGGGUCAAUCGCCUCGAUAUGAAUAGAUGCAUCUAAAGAUGCGUCGUCGACCCUAGACAAGUGCACAUUUUAUUUCUGUUGGCUCGGGCCGUCGCCUCAGUAUUAAGUGCACAUGAUUAAUUGUGUGGAAACUUAUACUUGCUUUGCUUUGCUAUUGUUCCAAAAUGCAAGUUGUAAAUUUUGAUAUAGUGAAGAACAUGACUUAUGCCACUUGCCAUAAACUGUUCAUACUAGUAGCUUUCCAUACUUAGUAAAUAUUAUAUGUAUUAUUUGAAUUUAGUAAGUAUAGAGUCGACCUUUCAUCUAUACUUCUUCUAGAUUAGACGGGAUACUUAUUGGGUACAUGUUGUUUAUGUACUCAUGCUACACUUCUGUACUUAAAUGUACAGGAUCUGAGGUAGGUCGUCGUCUCUACUUCUUUGAGAUUAGACGGGAUACUUACUGGGUACAUGUUAUUUUUGUACUCAUGCUAUACUUCAGUAGUUAAAUAUACAGGAUCUGAGGCAGGUGGAUAUGGUUAUCAUUCCGGUACGCAAUCGUGAGCAGAUUUGGGACUUCUACGGUGAGCUGCUAUUCCUUCAUGCUGACCCCCGGCCGAAGAAGUCUUUCCUUGUAUUUUAGUUUUCUGUCUAUCCCGAUUCAGACAGUAGGAUAGUAUGAUAUUCUUUUGUAUGUAUUCUACUAGUUGCCCGUAGCUUGUGAUACCAUGUUCUUGCACACACAUUAGUAGACUUAUUUUUGGGUUAUAAUAUUAUGUCACUCCAUUAUCUUUCACUUUUGUUUUAAAUUCCCAAAUGCGAAUAUUUAUUUCACUUAAAUUGUAGAAUUUAUUAACAUAAGAAGUAAAAAUAUUCCGCUUUGGCUUGCCUGGCAAUGGUGUCGGGCGCCUUCAUGACCUAUUGUGGAAAUGAGUCGUGACAAUAAAACGUAUUAAUCCGAAUAUACGCCGUAUAUACUUACCAUACUGUGAAAAAACAAUAUACUUCGUAUAUCCAAAUAAAUAAUAUUUAUACUAAUAAUAUUUAAUUUAUACUUCAUAAUAUACUUAUUAAAAAAAUAAAUAUUAAUUUAUUAUGCAAAUUGUAUAAUAUAUAUGAUAGGUAAAUAUUAUAAAGAUCACCUAUUCAUCGAGGUAUGAACUAUUAUACAAAAGCAUUCACAUUUAUACCACUAAAUAAAACGUUACCAUAGUUAAUAUAGAGAGAAAGUACCAAUAAAACCAUAAUUAAUAACAAUUUCAUUAUUAGAUGGGAAACUGAAACUCUUUGGUUUUAUAUUUAAGGAAAUAAACACAUUAGAUGCAUGAUUGUAGGUAAGAGUCUAAAGUUUUCUGCUUGAAAUAUAAUUAUUUAGUUGCCUUGUAUGUAAAAUACCUAUUGCGGCUAUGUUUGUGAAAGUUUUUCUUAAAAUUUGUCUAUUUGUGUUUUUGGCCCCUCAUAAAAAGCAUAUUUAAGUAAAUAUACUAGCAUAAUUAAAGUCCAUAUUUAUUUGGAAUCAUUACACAAAUAGUCAGUCAUAUUCAAUAUUUAUGUUUUCUAGCCAUAUUGUUACAAUUCGGAUUUUCUGUCCUCGGGAGUCGUGAUGGCGCAUACUAAUGUGAGCUAGGAAAGCCAAUCCUUUAACCACUGACUUCAUUAUCCAAUUAUUUCUUUUAACAAAUAUAAGGCGAUAACAUAUAAACAGCGAAACUUUAAAUUUAAGCGGAAGACAACAAUAAAAAAUCUAAAAUCUAUAUCUAUUACAACUACUCAAGCCUUAAUCACUUCGUGUCACAUUGUCAGAGGUCUAUAAUUUACUACAUACAAGGUCUGAAGAAAAUAACAAUACACUGUUCCUGAAUAUAAGGAAAGUAAAAUAGGAAAUAGGGAUAGAGGAGACGCCAGGGCCUGCGGACGCCAGCAGGUCUACCUUGGAUCUCCGCUUGGACUAAAGGUAGCCUCAAAAUUAUGGACCAAGAGCUGCUGUGGGAUCUGCACAUAAUGCAGAGUGUAGUGUCAGCACAACCGACCCCAUGUGCUACUAAAUGUCUAGCCUAACCUCGGCAAAGUAGUGAUGAGGCUAGGACCAAAUUACCAAACAAAUCUGUGCAGUUCAAAUAUAUAUAUAUACAGCAAAAAAGAAGUACAGCAAUAACCAGUAAAGUAUAGAGGGGAAGCAUGCUGUGGGGGAGAUGCUAAUUCCGAACAGAAAUACAAGCGGUAAAUGCAAGAAGAAAUUAAUCUCAUAUAUCAACCAAAAGAAACAAAAAGUAAUAAUUGCACGACAUCAUCCUUCGUUCUUUUGCUCUCUUUCCUCACCAUAUAAUCAAUAUAAUCGGCACGGAAUGGUACAUCUUGCGGCAAGACAUCAUCCUUCGUGAUUUAACUCUCUUCAUCACCCAAACAACAACCACAAAAAAUAGGGCAAGGGGAUAAAUAAAAUUUUAAUAAGAAUCCCGGCAAGGAAACAACAAUUCAACAAUUUAGUCCCGACAAGGGAGAUAACAAAUAAAGCAACAAUAGCUCGGCAAGGGUAGUGUCAUCACCCGGAUUGUCCACCCUCGAAAGUCGUAAUGGCGCCUACUAAUGCGAGCUAGGCAAACCAAAAAUUAUCUAAUUUCUAACAAUUUUUAUAUUACUCUUUUUAAAAACCAACAUAGAACAUUAAUGAGACAAAAGUGAAAUUUUUAUGAACUAAAGCGGAAGUCAUCAAUGAUAUAGUCAAACUGUGUCUAUCACAACUUUAAAACUCAACACCCAAAAACCGGGUGUCACAGUAUCAUAGACCGUCUAGGAGUUACAAAAUACAAAGUCUGAAUUAAAUACAUAAAACUAUUUCUGAACAAGAAUAAAGGAAACAUGAAUAGAAUAAAGGGGGACACUAGGGCCUGCAGAUGCCUGCAGGUCUACCUUGGGUCUUCGAGUUGACUGAAAGAAGCCCUCCAACUAAUGUCCGAUAGCUUCUAUGGGAUCUCCACACAGUGUAAAGUGUAGUAUCAGCACAACCGACCCCAUGUGCUGGUAAGUGUCUAGCCUAACCUCGGCGAAGUAGUGAAGAGGCUAGGAAAAGACAAACAUAUAAACCUGUGCAGUUUAAACAUAUACACCAGAGCAAGAAGUACAAAAAACAAUCUAACAAUUUCGAGGAAGGGAAAUGCUAUGGGGAGAUAAUAGUUUGGCAUAAAAGUAACAAGUAAGGAAAAAACAAUGUAGCUCGUAUACAUACGAGAUAUCAAUAAAUCAAUAGUUGCACGGUAGCAACCUUCGUGCUUUUACUACCACCCUUCAUGGUUUUACUCUCAUCCUCACUAAAACUGUACACGAUAUUACCCUUUCUACUUUUACCUUACAUAAUCAUGGAGCGGAAUGAUCCUUCGUGCAUUAACUCUCAUAUUAUGGUACAUCAUUCGGUACGAUAUCACCUUUCUUGCUUUACAUAUUCUCUUCAUAAUCAUUCACGGCAUCACCCUUCGGGCUUUACACUCUUUCCUCACAAACAACAAUGCACGAUAUAGCCCUUCUUGCUUUAUCACUCUUCCUCACCUAAAUAACAAUCACAAAAAAUAAGGUGAGGGAAUAGACAAGAAUAAAAUGAGAAUCCAGGCAAGGGAAGAACAAUUUAACAAUUAGAUCCCGGCAAGGAAACAAUAUUCAAACCUAUCAACUUCCCGAAGGGAACAACUGAUACCUUUUUUCUCUUUCUUUCACCUUCAUUUCAUAUAUCACUCUACACUUGAGCCAAUCCUCCAAAGUAUGCAAUCAUUUUAUAGACUUUCAAAUUUUGUAGUAUAACUUGAGCCAACACUCUGAGGUUUCAAUCAACCCACUUACUAUCACAAUUUCACAAUAUAACUUUAGCCAUUGCUCCUUGAUGUUCAAGAACCACAGUUACUUUAUUACAUUCCAAAACAAAUAGAAAUAAACUUUAAAGCAUAGAUUAUUCAACACAAUCAUGAAGUUCACAUUAUAAGACUCACGGUCGUGCUAGACACCAACGUAUAGAUUCUCGUCACCAUGCCUAUAUGUCGUACUUACAAUUAGCACAUAAAAAGUAAGACCAAAUUCCUAAUCCCUGAAGCUAAGGUUAGACCAAACACUUACCUCCAUGCCUUGAAUAUCACUCAAGUCUCAACUAUAGCUUCACCUCUUGAUUUCACCAUCAAUCAUCUCGAAUCUAGUCACAAGUUACUUAAUUAUAUUUAAAAAUGCUUAAUAAAUCAACCCCAAUGCAUGGUAAAAAGUUUUACAAGGUUUUAUCCAAAGAGGUCGAAAUUUCCGCUGGCCCACGUGGUCGAAACUCGAGGUUCGCACCAAAACCCAGUUACCAAUUCCCGCAAAAAUCCAAUUAUAUGAUUUGUUCUGAAGUAGGACCUCAAAUUAAGCUCCAACUCCCAAUUUUUAGAAAAUCAAGGUUCUACCCAAAACAAUUAAUUUUCCCAUGAAAAGCUUUGAUUAGAAGUUGAAAUCAUGUUAAAAGAUGUUAAGGAGUGAGGAGAAUGAAUUAGGAAUAACUUACUAAUCAUUUUUGAGAAGAAACGUUGUUCGGAAAAUCGCCUCUUAUGUUUUGGGGUUUUCAAAAAUGUAAAAUAACUGAAAUUUACGUGUAAUUAUACCCCUAUGAACCUCCCUGUGCGGGCCGCGGCCGCACAUGCUUCCUGAAGGCCUACGUAUCAUUGCCCCGUGGUUAUCGCACAUAGCCAUUUGCGGCUGCACAUCACCCAUCGCGGACUGCUCAAAGGCGACUGUGGUUGGCCUCUCCAUGGCCGCACGCGAUUUCUCGCAGACCGGGCAAGAGGGUUCAGAGACAUGCAAUAUUUCCUGAGCAUGCAACAUCUGAUCAUUUAAGUCAGAGGCAUUCCGGAAGCUACUCGAAACUCACCCGAGCCCUCGAAGCUUUAACCCAAGCAUGCACACUACCUAAAAAACACCUUACGAAUAUAUUCGUGUGAUCAAAUCACCAAUAUUACAUUGUGAACAUCGGAUUAAGCCUCAAGAUCAUUGAAAUUUCUCAAAACUACUUUUAAACAUCAAUUUCCCAAUUAGGAUACGGAUCAUGUCAAACGACGUCCGUUUUUAACCAAACAUCACAUCAGUGAUUCAAACUUAUAUAAGACUUGUACCGGGUUCAUGAAAAAAAAUCGGACCCGAUACCAUUACUUUCAAAUCAGAUUUCAUUCCAAUUUUCUUCAAACAUUUUCAGAAAACAAUUUCACUUAAACUUAAUUUCUCAGGCUUGGGACCUUGGAAUUUGAUUCCGAGCAUAUUCCAAAGUCCCAUAUUUUCCAAUGAACCCUUCGGGGCCGUCAAAUCACGGGUCCGGGACCGUUUACCUAAAGUGUUGACCGAAAUCAAAUUUGCUCAUUUCAAAGCAAAAACUUAGCAAUUUUUCACAAAAUUUCUCAUUUUAUGCUUUGCGGAUAUGUGCCAGGACUGCGCACACAAAUCGAGGUGACUCUAAUAGAGGCUUUGAAGGCCUCGUAGUAACAGAAUUUAGUUAAAAUAGGUGAUGACCCCUUUGGGUCGUCACAUUCUCCACCUCUAAAAUAACAAUUCAUCCUCGAACGGACAGGAGAAGGAACUACCUGAGUCGUAGAAAAGAUGAGGAUAACGGUGCGGCAUAUCAAACUCGGACUUCCAAGUCGAUGCCUCAUGAGGCUAACCUCUCCACUGAACACGAACCGAUCGAAAAAUAUUCGACCUUAACUUACGAACCUGCAGGCCUAUAAUAGCUAUCUGCUCCUCCUCAUAAGACAAGUCCUUGUCCAACUGGAUAGUGCUGAAAUCUAACACGUCGGAUGGAUCAACGUGAUACUUUUGAAGCAUGGACAUAUUAAAUACUGGAUGCACGACUGAUAAACUAGGCGACAGUGCAAGUCUAUAAGACACCUCUCCCAUAUGAUCAAGAAUCUCAAAUGGAACAAUGAACAUAGGGUUAAGCUAUCCCUUCUUCCAGAAUCUCAUCAUGCCCUUCAUAGGCAAGACUCGGAGCUAUACUCGCUCACUGAUCAAAAAGGCCACAUCUCAAACCUUGCGGUAUGCAUACCUUUUCUUCCUAGACUGAGCUAUAUGAACCUUAUCAUGUAUAACCCUGACCUUGUCAAAGGCCUCCUGAACCAAAUAUGUUCCUAAUAACUGAGCCUCUCCUUGCUCAAACUAUCCGACUAGAGAUCUACAUCACAUACCAUACAACGCCUGAUGAGGUAAACUGCGUACCUUGAUCCAAAAUGAUAGAUGCAAGCACACCAUGAAGACCAAAAUCUCCCGAAUAUAGACAUCAGCCAGCCUCUCGAAUGAAUAUGAGACUGCUAUAGGAAUGAAAUGUGCUAACUUGGUCAGUAUAUUAACAAUGACCUAUACAGCAUCGGAUUUCUUUUGAGUCACUGAAAAUACAGUAACGAAGUCCAUAGUGAUCGUCUCCCACUUCCACUCGGGAAGUUUAGUCCGUUGAAACAAUCCACCAGGACUUUGCUGCUCAAACUUAACCUGAUGAAAUUUCAAACAUCGAGCUACAUACGCAACAACAUCUUUCUUCAUUCUACGCCACCAAUAAUUUUGAUGCAAAUCCUAAUACAUCUUUGCGGCACUUGAAUGAAUAGAGUACUGGGAGCAAUGGGCCUCCUUUAAGAUAAAUUCUCAGAGUCCAUCCACAUUCGGCUCACACACUCAAGCCUACAAUCUCAAAACUCCAUCAUCAUCUAAGGUCACCUGCUUGGCACCUCCACGCUGCACCUUGUCUCUAAGGACACACAAACGGGGAUCAUCAAAUUUCCAAUCACGGGUACGCUCCAAUAAUCAAAAACGAGCAACCGUGCAAGCUAAAACUUUACUAGGCUCAGAAAUAUGAAAUUUUGCGAAUCGAUUGGCCAAGGCCUAAACAUCCAACGCGAGCGGCCUCUAGGUAGCCAGAAUAUAAGCAAGACUGCCCAUGCUGGCCGACUCCAUACUCAAGGCAUCGGCUACCACAUUGGACUUUUCCGGGGUGGUAUUAUAUAGUAAUAUCAUAAUAUGUUAACAACUCCAACCACCUCCUCUAUCCCAAAUUCAACUCCUUCUGCUUGAAUAGAUACUUAAGACUCUUGUGAUCGGUGAACACCUCACACGCCACGCCGUACAGAUAAUUCCUCCAAAUCAUCAAUGCAUGAACAAUGGCUGCCAACUCUAAAUCAUGAACAUGAUAGUUCUUCUUAUGAAUCUUCAACUACCUCAAAGCAUAGGCAAUAACCUGGCCAUCCUGCAUCAAUACUUCACCAAGAUCAACGCUAGACGCAUCACAACAAACUGUAUAAGGCAAUGAUCCUGAGGGCAAGACCAAUACCGGUGCCGUAGUCAGAGCUGUCUUGAGCUUAUGAAAUCUCGACUCACACUCGUCCAACCAUCCGAACUAGCUACCCUUUUCGGUCAAGCUAGUCAUCGGGGCCGCAAUAGAUAAAAACCCCUCCAUGAACCGACGAUAGUAGCCUGCCAAUCCUAAGAAACUCCGAAUAUUCGUAGCUAAUGCUUGUCUAUGCCAGUUCCCGACUGCCUCAAUCUUCUUAGGAUCAACCUGAAUACCUUCUAGUGAUACAACGUGGCCCAAGAAUGCAACUGAACUUAACCAAAACUCACACAUCAAAAGUUUUGCAUGUAGAUAACUAUACUUCAGAGUAUGAAGAACCAUCUGGGGUGCUGCUCGUGCUCCUCCUGGCACUGAAAAUAUAUUAGAAUAUCUUCAAUAAAGACUAUCACGAACGUGUGAAAAUAAGGGAACACUCGGUUCAUCAAGUCCAUAAAAUCUGUUGGGGAAUUCGGGCUACUGAGCGGUAGAUGAGGAAGCGUGUGUUCUCGUCAUCUCAAAGAAUAGAGUAUAAAUUCAAUCAGUAUUAGGAAACAAAACCACACUACAAGAAAGAACAAAUGGGAUGUUAUUCCUAACUCUGUAGCCAAUGGGGGAUAAAUACAGACGUCUCCAUUCUGAUCCCUCAGACUUAACAAAGAUUCUUUGUGAACUGUGACACCAUUUGACCUAGAACUCUGAUACCAACUUGUCACAACAAGAAUUGGCCCCCCACGGAUGUCGUGAUGGCGCCUACUAAUGCGAGCUAGGCAAACCAUUUUCAUGCUACUCAUUUUAAAAACCAACAUAGAACAUCAAUGAGAUAAAAGUGAAAUUUUUAUGACCUAAAGCAAAAGUCAUCGAUGAUAUAAUUAAACGACAUCCAUUACAACUUUACAACUCAACACCCCAAAACUUGGUGUUGCAAUAUCACAAAUCGUCUAGGAGUACUAAAUACAAAGUCUAAAUGAAAUACAUAAAAUUGUUUCAAAACAAUAAUAAAGGAAAUAGGAAUAGAAUAGAUGGGGACGCUAGGGCCUACAGACGCCUAUAGGUCUACCUUGGGUCUCCGAGUGGACUGAAAGAAGCCCUCCAACUAAUGUCCGAUAUCUAUACUGGGAUCUGCACACAAUGUCGAAUGUAGUAUCAGCACAACUGACCCCAUGUGCUAGUAAGUAUCUAGCCUAACCUCGGCAACGUAGUGACGAUGCUAGGACCAGACCAGAAUAAAAACUUGUGGAGCUUAAAUAUAUAUAGCAGAACAAGAAGUAUAGAAAACAAUCUAACAAUUUCGGGAAAGGGAACAUGUUGUGGGGAGAUAACAGUUUGGCAUAAAAGCAACAGGUAAGGAAAGAAACAACGUAGCUCGAAUACAAACGAGAAAUCAGUAAAUAGAUAGUUGCAUGACACUACACUUCGUGCUUUUACUCUCAUCCUCACCAAAAUAGUACAUGGCAUCACCCUUCGUGCUUUUACCUUAGAUAAUCGUGGCACAAAAUGAUCCUUAUUGCAUUAACAUUCAUAUCAUGGCACAAAAUGGUAAAUCAUGUGGCACGGUAUAACACUUCGUGCAUUACAUAUUCUCAUCAUAAUCAUAAAAGGCAUCACCCUUCUUGCUUUACACUCCUUCCUCACAAACAACAAUGUACGGUAACACCCUUCGUGCAUUAUUGCUCUUCCUCACACUAGCAACAAUCACAAAAAGAUGGGGGUGAGGGAAUAGAAAAAAAUAAAAUGAGAAUCCCGGCAAGGGAACAACAAUUUAAAAAUUAGAUCCCAGUAAGGGAACAAUAAUAAAAAUAUCAACUUCUCGGAAAGGGAACAAUUUAUACCUCCUUAUCUUUCGUUCACCUUCAUUUCAUAACUCGCUCUACACUUGAGCCAAUGCUCCAAAGUAUGCAAUCAUUUCAUAGACUUGAGCCAAUGAUCCAAGGGUUCAAUCAACCCACUUGAUUUCACAAUUUUAUAAUAUAACAUUAGCCAUUGCCCCUCGAUACUCAAUAACCACAAUUACUUCAUUACCUUCCACAACAGAUAGAAAUCAACUUUAAAGCAUAGAUUAUGCAACACAAUCAUGAAAUUCACAUUAUAAGAAUCAUGGUCAUGCUAGACACCAAAUUAUAUAUACUUGUCACUAUGCCUAUACGUUGUACUCACAAUUAUUACAUAACAAGUAAGACUCAAUUCCUAAUCCCUCAAGCUAAGGUUUAGACCAAACACUUACCUCGAUGCCCUUAGCACCACUCAAGUCUCAAAUAUUGCUUUACCUCUUGAUUUCACAACCAAUUCGCUCGAAUCUAGUCACAAGAUAGUUAAUUAAAUUAAUAAAUACCAAAUUAAUCAAUCCCAAUGCAUGAAAAUAAGUUCUACAUGAUUUUACCCAAAGAGGUCAAAAAUUCCCCUGGCCCACGUAGUCAAAACUCGAGGUUCGGACCAAAAACAUCCGAUUACCCAUUCCCCUACUAAACCAAAUAUAUGAUUUGUUUUGAAAUCGGACCUCAAGUUGAGGUCCAACUCCCCAAUUUUUAGAAAACCUAAGUUCUACCCAAAACACCCAAUUUCCCCAUGAAAAUCAUUGAUUAGAUAUUGAAAUCAUGUUAAAAGAUGUUAAGGAGUGAAGAGAAUGAGGUAGAAAUCAUGUUAACUUAAAAAUUUAUUUUUCGGGCUUUGGACCUCAGAAAUCAAUUCCAGGCAUACGUGCAAGUUUCAUAUUUUCCUACGAACCCUCUGGGAUCAUCAAAUCAUGGGUCCGAGUCCGGGACUAUUUACCCAAUUUGUUGACCAGAGUCAAACUUGUUCAUUUCAAAGCCAAAAUUUAGCAAUUUUUCACAAAAUUUCUCAUUUUAAGCUUUUUAGCUAUGCACCAAGACUGUGCACGCAAAUCGAGGUGACUCUAAAGGAGGUUUUCAAGGCCUUGGAGUCUCAAUAUUAAAUUGAAAUAGGUAAUGACCCCUUAUGGUAGUCACGGUUGGCAACAUGAUGAUCUCCCCUCUUUCUCACUUUCACUUCACAACUCGAGCCAAUGCACUAGAGGUUCAAUUGUCAAGUAUACUUUUACAAUUCAUUAUACAACUUGAGCAAUGCUCCUCAAUGUUCAUAGGUCACAAUUCCUUCCAAAAACUUUACACAACAAAUAGAAACCACCACUAAGGCAUGAAAGAUACAACAAAGUCAUGAUAAUCACAAAAUAAAGAUUCACGGGCAUGCUAGACACUAAUGUAUAGAUACCAUGCGUAUACGUCGUACUCAACAAUUACCAUAUAAAAAAUAAGACUCAACUCCUAAUCCCUCAAGCUAAGGUUAGACCAAACACUUACCUCGACGCCACGAACACAAUUCACGAUUCAACUACAGCUUUACCCCUUAAUUCCACCACCAAUUCGCUCGCAUCUAGUCAGAAAUUACUUAAUUACAUCAAUAAACGCAGAAUGAAUCAACCCAAUGCAUGAAAAUGAGUUUUCUAAAAUUUUACCCUAAAAGUCAAAAAAUUUCCCUUGGGCCCACAUGGUCAAAACCUGAGGUUCGAACCAAAAGCUGAUUAUUUAUUCCCCACGAACCCAAAUAUAUAUAAAUCGGACCUCAAAUCAAGGUCCAACUCUGUAAUUGAGGUUCUACGCAAAACACCCAAUUUUCCCCAUGAAAAUCAUUGAUUUUGGGUUGAAAUCAUGUUAAAAGAUGAAAUGAGUUAAAACUAACUUACAAUCAAUUUGGAAGAAGAGUUGUUCUUGCGAAAUCUCCCAAGGGAUGUGCUUUUAAAAGAUGUGAAAAAUAGGUUAAAAUUCGUCAAAGUAUAAAAGUUGCAGGUUGUAGAUGCGGGAAAUGCGAACAUGACCUCUGCUAGCUUUGGAAUUGCGAAACAGUGCUCGCAUUUGCAAGAGGACCCUCACAUUUGCAAGAUCGAAUUUACGAACGACAUCUCGCAUUUGCGAGAUAAGGCAGGGCUGGGCUAGUUUGCAUUUACGACCAAGCCCUGAAUUUGCAAUAUCGCAUUUGCAAGCCAGGCUUUGCAAUUGCGAAGCCUACAGGAAGGAUCAUACCAGCAAUGAAACCUGCAAUUUUCUAAAUAUAAAAUGCACUCCAUGGCCUAUCCAAAACUCACCCGAGCCCUCGGGUCUCAAAACAAAUUAUACACAAAACCUCAAAAAUAUCCCGCAGAUUUAUUCGUUUACUCAAAUUACCAUAAUAACAUCAUUAACAUCGAAUUAAAGCUCAAGAUCAAUGAAAUUUUUACCAAACUUCUUUAAGCAUCAAAUUUACAUUUAAGUUCCAAAUCACGUAAAAUGGAUUCCGUUUCGUACCAAACUUUACCGACAACACAUAAAUCAUAUUGAACAUGUACCGGUCUCCGAAGCCAUAAUACGCGUCUUAUACCAUUGGUUUCACAUAACAUUUAACUUUAAAAACCCUUUAUAAUUUUUAGAAAAUAAUUUCUUUCAAAAAUUCAUUUCUCGGGCUUGGAACCUUGGAAUUCAAUUCCAGGGAACGCCCAAGUUCCUUAUUUUUCUAUGACAUUCUAGGACCAUCGAAUCAUGGGGCUGGGUUCAUUUACCCAAAAUGUUGACCAAAGUCAAAUUAAUUCACUUUAUUGUAAAAAUUUAUCAUUUUUUCAUAGAUUUUCAUGUAUAGGAUUUUCGACUAUGCACCUGGACUGUGGACGCAAAUUGAGGUAGUGCUAAAAGAGGUUUUAGGGCCUCGGAACGCAUAAUUCAUUUAAAAAACAAGUGAUGACCUCUUGGAUCAUCACAUUCUCCACCUUUAAAACAACAGUCCAUCCCUGAACAGACAGAAGAAGGAAGUAACUGAAUCGGUGAGAAGAUGCAGAUAACGGCUCCGCAUAUCGGACUCGGACCCCGAGGUCAAUGCCUCAUCAGGCUGACCUCUCCACUGAACAAGAACAGAAGGAAAACUCUUCAAUCUCAAUAGACGAACCUGCCAAUCUAGAAUAGCUACCAGCUCCUCCUCAUAAGAUAAGUCCUUGUCCAUCUGGACAUUACUAAAUAUAACACGUGGGAUGGAUCGCCAUGAUACUUUCUAAGCAUGGACACAUGAAAUACUGGAUGCACAACUGAUAAUCUCAAUGGCAAUACAAGUUUAUAAGCUACCUCUCCCAUUUAAUCAAGAAUCUCAAACGGGCUAAUGAACCUUGGUCUAAGCUUGCCCUUCUUCCCACACCUCAUCACGCCAUUAAUAGACGACACUCGAAGUAAUACCCACUCACUAACCAUGAAUGCCAAAUCAUGAACCUUGCAGUUGGAAUAAACCAUUUGCAUGGACUAAGCUAUUUGAAGCCUAUCCUGAAUGAUCCUGACCAUGUCCAAGGCAUCUUGAACCAGAUCCGUACCCAACAAUCGAGCCCCUCCCGGCUCAAACUAUCAAAUCAGUGACGGACAUCACCUACCAUACAAAGCCUCAUAUGAAGCCAUAUGAAUACUCAAGUAGUAGCUAUUGUUGUAGGAAUACUAUGGUAUAGGCAAAAACCGAUCCCACCAGCCUCAAAAGUUAAUGAUACAAGCUCGGAGAAUAUCCUCCAAAAUCUGAAUGGUUUGCAUAUACUGUCUAUCCAUAUGAAGAUGAAACAUUGGGCUGAACUAAACCAACGUUCCCACUUCUCACUGAACUGGCAUCCAAAAGCUUGAGGUAAAUUGCGUACCUCGAUCGAAAAUUAUAGACACGAGCGUACCAUGAAGGCGAACAAUCUCCCGGAUAUAGAUUUCAGCUAACCUCUGAGAAGAAUAAGAGACUGCCACAUGAAUGAAAUGCACUGACUUGGUCAGCCAAUCAAGAUGACCCAUACUGUGUCGAAAUUCCUCCGGUUCUGCAAGGGUCCAACAGAAAAAUCCAUAAUAAUAUGUCACACCUCCCUUUUCACUAUACACCCUCGCGAGAGGCAUAAAGGAGUUUUUCCUAUUAAAGGACAAUCGGAACGGAAUUUAUUAUUAAGAAUUCAAAGUCGCCACUUGGGAGAUUAAUAAUGUCCCAAGUCAAAAUUUGAAUCCCGAACCGAGGAUUAUCAUGACUCUAUUAACAGUCCGCGAACCAGAAAUCUAGACAAGGAACUCUGUUAACCCGGGAGAAGGUGUUAGGCAUUCCCGACUUACGUGGUUCUAGCACGGUCCCUCAACUGUUGCAUUUGGCUUAUUAUCUGAUUCUAUUACAUGAAGAACCUAUGUGCCAAUUUUUACUUUUUACUUUUUUUAUGUAAUAUAUUUAUUUGAGAAAGUGAAUGUUAUUUAAAAUGUGUUUUCGGAUUGCGCAGCAUGAAAUGAACCUGCAAUCCUAGACACACACUAUUCAACAUUUUAGGAUUUGGAUUUGGGCCGCAUAAAAUUCCUACCCGUAUUUAGGAAUAUAAUUUAUUAAAGUCACGCCUAAUAGAGCGUAAUACGUUGAAAUCAUUUGGGAGGGUCGUGAAAUUCGCUAAACCGCCAUUCCCGAUUUUCUAAAUAGUUUGUUUAAAAAAAACCUUUAAUGAGGGCCACGCAAUUUUGCAUUUUUUUGGGCAAGGCAUGUCUCAUUUUAUUUUAUAGGAUAAGCCUAAAAGUGACUAUAUUUUCUAUUUUUAUUCCGUCUCUAAAAAAAGAAAAUUCUAAUUGAUUAUUAUCCGAAGACAGGUUUAACGUUCAAGUCCGCGCUCAAAAAAAGGAUGGACCUAUUAGCUUAGACCCGCUAACUAACUCAAAACCCAAAAUUAUUAAGUGAACCUUGAAUCGAAAUAUUUAAAAAACAGGCCCAAAUUAUAGGCCAUUUCGCCUGAAGAGCAUCUGACUCUAUUGCACAUUCAUGGCAUGAAUUACAUAGGGUCUAAAGGGGGGCAACAUGCAAGCCCAUACCUAAAUCAUAAGACCUGAAUUGCCUAAAUUGGCCAGACCUAACAAAAGGGCUCAUGGGAUCAAUUCCGGGCAACAAGCAACAUACGGGUCUUUCCCAAACCAAAAAUAAAGCUUCCAUGACUAAACUAUCCCUAGAGUUCAAUAACAGGUGAGUUUGAAUAACUGAACCAAUUAAUAUUUCAAGGAUUAAGUAAUCGCCAUUCACUAGACAAAGUAGUUAAUUAUUUAUGUGCUCUUACCUAAUUCCUGUAUCACAACCGUAGAAGAUUUUUUUUUUAGAACUACUGCCUGCAAUGAUCAAUGAAAUUACAACUUAACUGCAAUGUGCAAAACUAAUUUACUGCCUGAACCUAUACUCAAAUAUAUUCGACUGAGAUUAACUCAACUUCCUGCCUUAAGUACUCGACAUCAGUAAUACAACACAAUUAGAAAACAAAACAACCAAAUUUUAUUGCACAUAACCAUUGACAUGAAACUAACUUCAAAUUAAUCAGUUCAUUAAACUCAGGUAUUUAUAGUCGUUUAUGUAACGACCAAACAGCCCUAUUACAAUUUAUUAAAAUCAUGCAGUCUAAACAGUUGUUAUACAAAACAAAUAUUGAGCAUUAAACUACAUUCAACUGCAAAAUGUCACAUUGUAGAACAACAUCCAAAUGAGCUUAAUUUUGGUAGGCAUCUCUAUUUCAACGUUAACUCAAAGUUACAUCAAAGUAAUUAGAGGUCUACCCGGGAAUCAAAAUUUAACAUGAAAGAGGAGAGGUUAGCACAGCAGCAAGGAGCAACACACAACCAGCCAGGAAUCAAUAAAAUAACCCAGGAGAGUUUGGAACUAGGCAACUCAGCAAUCAACCACAAACCACUCGAGUGAAAUGGAAAUUUGGCCCAGGAAAUACAAAACACAUUCAGCAAUCGAGCAAAUAAAGGAUAAGCCCCCCAAAUGACUUUAUAUGUUGUAAAUCUUACACACAAAACUGAAGACAUAGAUGUUUGAGCUUUUAAUUCUAAUUGAGCCAGAAAAACUGAAUCACUGAUAAAAACUUGAAAAUGAUCUAAUGUGAAGCAUUGCAAUAAUUGUUUUUGGUAUUUUAUAUUUGAUUUUUGUUUGUCUUUUUUUGGAAGAUUUGGAGUUUGAUUUCAAGUUUCAGAUCUGAAUCUUGUUGAGAGAAUGGGGGAAUUUUUUUAUGAGGCUCCGAACUAUCGUCACAAAUUAGCAAAGAAUUACACAAAUAAUCAGACAAAAAUCAAAAAUUAAAAUGAAUUAGAAUCUAAACAAGAUGAACAAACAAAUGAUAUAGAUCACAAAUUAGAACAACAAUCAGAAUAGAAAUAAUAACACGAGUGUUAACCAAACUAAAAAUAAACUAACACCUAAAACCUAAUAAUAUUGAUUAACCAUUGAUGAACUAAAACUCACGAGGACCAGGAGAAACAAAAAUGAAAUUGAAAGAGAACUUACUGAUUUCAAAAUCCCUGUGGCCAAACGUCUAAAGUGAUUUUCGAUUAAUGUUAUUUAUCUAUUUCAUCCGAAAUAGACAUAUAACAUUAAGCGAAAAAUGACUGACUCCGAAUGAAUAAGAACAGACCCGACUUCAUGAACCUCAGAUUUGAAAUUCACUCAAUUCUUUUUGGAUUUGAAGGAUUUUGGUUAGGUAUUAGGGACGAGGGAGGUCAGGGGAUCAUGGGGUGUGAUUUUGGGCGAGUUUGGGUGAGGUAGUGACUUGGCUGGAAUCUUCAAAAUGAUAUUCAAGGAGAUGGGUGGUGAUUCGAGAAAAACCAACACCGGCUAUGAGGAGAGGAGGUUAGGGUGUAAAUUUUUGUGAUUGGAGGCGGCGGCGCCACUGGCGCCCUUGGGAUUUAAAGACUUAACAUUUUAGGGUUCAUGUCCUUUGAGGGAUGUGGGAAAUGGAGGAGACGAGAUGGGGGUGGGUGGGGGCCUUAGGAUAUUUAUAUAGUUAGGGGUGGGGGCUUCUUGAUCGUCUGGUCAAAUAACCUCGACGGGCCAGAUUGAUCCUAGUUAAACUGACGUCGUUUGGUCAGUUGAAGAUCCGGACCGGGUUUCGGCGAAAAUGGGCGUGGGAGUGGGUGGAAUUGGGAUUGGAUGGGGAUUUAAAUUAAACAAGCCCAAAAUUGAACAUUCUUACAUGACCAAUUCUUUUAAUUCCUCUCCAUUUUUUAUUCCACUUUUUCUUUUCAAUUAACUUCUUUUUUGUUAUUUCCAUUUUAUUAUUUUGCAUUGUAUUUUAUAUGAUUUUUAUAAAUAUGUAACAAUAAAAAUAUAACUUUAAACUAAACUAAUCAAUGGCCUAAAACCACAUUAAAACUAAUGUGCGACAAUUUCACAAUUAAAAUAAUAAAAAUGCUAAAAUGAACUAUUUUUUGUGAUUUUUCAUGCAUUGUUCUAAGGAAAUUUGAACCCUAAUUAAUAUUAAAAUAUGAAAUUAAAUCCUAAAUGUAAAUUCAUAUUUUUUGUAAUUUUUAUGAAUCAACAUGCACUCAUAAAAUGCAACAAUUAUCAGGAAAUGACACAAGAAUGCACAAAAUCAUAAAAAUAAAGAAAAAUCAUUUUUUUUUAUUUUUGGGAAUAAAUCAAAUAUAGGGCAAAAAUCACGUGCUCACAGUUGCCCCUCUUCGCUCGGAAACAUGAAAGGUUUUCAGGCAAAGAUAAGUGAGCAAAUACGAGCAAUUUUUGCCAGUUCAAAUAUCCUGUUGCGAAGCAUUUUGAAAAUUUUUGACUGCACCUUGCUUUUGAGGCUACCUACAUAUCCCUAGCUAAAAAGGAAUCAUGUCAGUGCAGUUUAGGAGUGUCUGGUAGCUGGGACUACCAGGAGCUGUGAUUUCACAUCGAUUGGUGCUGCUGCUACUGCUCGCUGAGCUUCCUUAUUACACCAUGUCAAAGAUGAAAAGAAGCUAAACUAGCAAUGCUCUUAUGAAUUACAAAAGUCCUAUCCAGAUCCUUCAAACUUGUUCGUGUACUUCCUUGUUGUCUUGUUGUCUUGUUGUCUUGUAUUUUAUGUUGUUGCCAUGUUUCCUUGUGUUUUCUUUAGUGAAACAUAUUGUUGUUACUUCAAAUUGAGCACUGAGAUGUGUUUCCUUCUCUCCAAAUUAGUGAACUUGAAUAAACAUGAACUCGAACAUGAGCUCCUGACUUCACAAAAAUAGAUGAAACAAAGAAAACUUUUUGGCCCAGUUCGGAAAACUGGGGUUUGUUACCGGAUACUAAUACGAACUUGAAAACUAAAACUUGAAUUGUAAUACCUAUGUUCUCCAGGCGGGCUCGUGACUUCAAAACUUGAAUGUAUUCCUCUGUUCUCCAGGCGGGCUCCUGACUUUACAAAAAUAGACAAAACAAAGAAUACUUUCUGUGCCAAUUUGGAAAAUAGGCUAGUUACCACAUACCAAUAAGAACUAAAACUUGAACUGUGAUAAGACUGAAAUGCAACAUUAAACCUUUUAAAGACUGAAAUGUACCUUAAAAUUUGAAAUUUAUCUUAGGUGAAAAAUUCAUUAGACUAAGAUUUUUAUCUUAGGAGAAAGAUUCAACAUACUAAGAUUUUUAUCUUUUUCUUAGGUGAAAAAUUCAUCUGACUAAGAUUUUCAUCUUAGGAGAAAGAUUCAACAUAAUAAGAUUUUUAUCUUUAUAUUAUGUGAAAAAUUCAUCACACAAAGAUUUUCAUCUUAGGAGAAAGAUUCAACGGACUAAGAUUUUAUUUUUACCUUAGGUGAAAAAAUCCGUCAGACUAAGAUUUUUAUCUAAGGAGAAAGGUUCAACAGACUAAGAUUUUAUAUUUUAUCUUAGGUGAAAAAUUUAUUAGACUAACAUUUUAAUCUUAGGAGAAAGAUUCAACAUACUAAGAUUCUGACUCUAGGAGAUAGUUCAUCAGACCAGGUCCAUUUUGUGUGAUCUCUGGAGAAAGAUUCAUCGGACUGAGAUUUUGACUGUAGGAGAUAAUUCAUUAGACUAGGUCAAUUCUUCGACUUCAGAAUUUCUUAAUUUUCCGAAUUCCAAAUUCCUUUCCUUUCAAAUUCUUCCUUCCUUUCUUGUUCCCAAAUUAUGCCAUCCUUUCUUUUUUGACUUUUGCCUUCCCCUUCUUUUUCAAAAGUAUGCCUUCUUUUCUUUUUCCAACUGUAGCCUUUUCUUUUUCCAAAUUAUGCCUUUCUUUCCCUUUUCCAACUUCUGCUUUUAUUUUAGGUAAAAGAUUUAUCAGACUAAUAUUUUUAUCUUAGGUGAAAAAUUCAUCGGACUAAGAUAUUUUACCUUCAUCUUAGGUGAAAGAUUCAUCAGACUAAGAUUUUUAUCUUUGGUGAAAAAUUCAACAGACUAAGAUCUUUAUCGACUAACCAUUUUCCUCUGAAACUUGUUUUCUCUACCUUGAAAUAUCUUCCUUCAAAACUGUCACCCUAAAAACUGGUGUUUCAUUCCUUUAAAAAUUACUUUUCUUAAAACUGGUGUUUCUUUUCUGAAAACUACUUCCCUCUCUAAACAAACUUGUAUUGACAUUCAUUUUCUUCAGAUGAGUACCCGACUUCAAGAAAAUUUUCAACACGACAGAAGAUUUUCUGCCUCAGUUCGAUAAUCUUCCUGUAGCAUAACAUUUACAUGACCAUGUUUCAAAUUAAAGAAAAUUCUUUCAGUUUAAAGUGCGGUGGUUGGUUGUGGUAAUCCUGUUGGGAAUGACUUUCCUUUUCUCCUUUCAAUGCUUUGCGUUGUCUGACCAUCUUUGAAACUUGGAGGAUAACUUAUGGCCUUCUUGACGACUACCUCUCAAUUAUUACUUCUAGUCUUCUUAUCGGACCCCAUAUGUUUCUAUGACAACUGAUUCUCCUUGAUAAUCUUGCAUGUUUACUGAUUAACCACUUUUCUCGUCAUGUGUGUAACCGAAAUACCCCUUUUCCUCGUUCAGGUCCAAUAUCUUCUUUUGGGUUUGUUGCUCCCUUACUUGUCAGUAACUUUCAUUUCGAUUUGAAAACACCAUUUGUUUCUGGCUUAACACUUCCUGUGUCAUACCUCUUAUGCAUUCAAGACCCUUACCUUCUGUUUCUUGCACUUUUUGUGUACUGACUUUAAUCAAUCUUUGUACCUCACCCCAAAGCAUGCUGAUUUCCACCCACAGUAUGUUGUUCUUCUAAAUUGAGCCCCAUGGCCCCUAACCUUGGAGUAUAUUUCUCCCCCAAAGCAUGUUGAGUAUUACCAACUCAGUGAUGUUGUUGUUUUUCCUGACUUGUGACACUUUGAUAUGCUAGCCAGAACCCAUCUUGUAUAAUUGGAAAGCGGGUGUCAAACUUUGCAGUCAUUUCUCACUUGUUAUAAUCAAACAGACUCAGAAAGAGGAAGUGAAUAAAAAUAGAUAAAUAGAGUGAAGGAUAAAGAAAAAAGAUGAUUCCUAAAGAGGAGAGUACGAAGUAGAAACCAAUCGAAUGUGGAUACCAAUUCUAACGACCACGGCAUGCACAUAUAAAUAUUUUGUCAAUCAGUUCUGACGUUAAGCUCUUGUUGUACCUUUCACUGUGAAGCUGGGCUUUAAUGCUCCACUCAUCGAAUUUGAUUCGCAUUCCUUAUUCGGCUUGUAGCUCCCAAAGGGUUUUCACCAAAAAAACCUCUCUCAUAUGUUCUCUUUCUCUCAACUUACUAUCGCCUCACGGUGCCUGUGAAUGUUUUCUCCAAUAAGACUCUCUCAUUUUAUUUCUCUCAGCUUUAAUCGCCUUGCGAUACCCAUGAGGGUUUUCAUCAAUAAGACUCUCUCAUUUUCAUUUUCCUUGUUUGGACUAGAGUGUUGCUCCUAACAUGAAUAACCUUUACCUGCUUGUCUUGGCAUGUCUCGAAGAUUGAUCGGAAGGUCUUUCUUUUGACGUUAACGUGGCUUUUGGAUGCGUUAGAAAGAAAGAGUAUAAAAGGCUCAAAACAAUUCAAAUUGGGGUUAAAACUACAACUUCCGGAAUCCGAUUUCUUUCAACAAUCACAACUUCUGCCCCAGUUUCUUGCUUGGGGACUUUUGCAAUUUUAUUUUGAUAUGACUGAAACUCAGAGAGGCCGUCUACAUACCCUUUCUAGAUCAAGUCAAACGUAGUUCACUCCAUAGAAACCAUUUUGUUGUGAUUUCUUUCUUUUUUUCCUUUCUUUUCUUCAUUUUUCUUUUCUUUCUUUUUUUCUUUUCUUUUCUUUUGUUUUCUUCCUUUUUCUCCUUUUCUGUUCUUCUUUUUCCUUUCCUUCCUUUUCUUUUUCCUCCUUUUUCCAUUUUCUUAUCUCUAGCACUUGGGUUUCUUUGAUUAUGCCAUUCAUUCCAAAAGAGGGGUACGAAAGAAAAUAAAAACGGCUGAAAAUGGGUGACAAUGAAAAAACGUGUUAGGAUAGCAGAACAAAAUGCCUUCCCCAUUUCAACCUUCAAAAUAUGCUAAGUGCAAACAUCUACAAUCAAAAUACAGAAAUCAUACACAGUAUCUCUUGACUGAAUCGAAAUUGACGGCCAUUUCCAACAUUUCUUUCUACAUCUAACUGAUUGAAUGUGCCAUUGGGCCACACUCUUACUCUUAUUACCACGAUCGGCCCCUUGUCACUUUGGCCGACUUGCUUUUACGGGGUUUUUUAUGUUUUAAUUGCCCAGUUUCACAUGGUUUGGGCGUCGAACAAUCUCAAAAUGUCUGAAUCUGUUCUUAUUUCUUCAAAUGCCCUUAUCGUCUUCAAAAUGGUUUCAUUGCUUCUCGACCAACGUAGCUUUUAAAAAGCCGACCAAGAAUUAUGUGUGCCUGUUAUGUCACUAGAACCAGUAGGAAAAGAAUUGUAGAAUGAAAAGAGAACUAAACAAAAAUGACUAGAAAUGGCAGAAAAUAGAGAAUUGUAUUAAAUAGACGGCUAAAAGGUUUAACAACAAAACAAGCAACACAAACUGGGGAAAAAUCCUAAAAAAAACGUAGAUAACACUACAUAACGUAUGACAAUUAGACAAAUAAAAGGAUAGAAGGGUUUGAAUCACAAAUCAAUAUCUAGAUUACAACACUAAAAAUAACCUGGAUAACAGAAACGACAACAAAAUAAACCACAAAGACUUCUCUCCAGCUGGCCAAGAGAUGAAGCGUCUUUCCAAUUACCAAGCUCGGCAUCUUAGCCUCUAAGUUCUGCAUCAAUAUUGUCAAGAACAUUACCAACUUCGAUAUCAUCAACUUCAAUCAACAAGUUCCCAAGAGGAUUCGCAUGCUCCAUGUCACUGUCAUUAACCACAAUUACCCCUUCUUGAAUCAUUCUUUCUAUUUCCCUUUUCAAUCCUGACAACUUUUCAUCUCCAGCUGGCCAAGAGAUGAAGCGUCUUUCCAAUUACCAAGCUCGGCAUCUUAGCCACUGAGUUCUACGUCAAUAUUGCCAAGAUUAUUACCAACUUCGAUAUAAUCAACUUCAGCUAACAAGUUCUCUAGAGGAUUUGCAUGCUCCCUGUCACUGUCAUUAUCCACAAUUACCCUAUCUUGAAUCAUUCUUUCUAUUUCCCUUUUCAAGUCCCGACAAUUUUCCGCAUUGUGCCCCAGAGCAUUGGAGUGGAAUUCACACCUUUUAGAUGAGUCAAUGCUUCUCACACAUCGGUCCAUCUGAUUUGGAGGAAUGGGUGCAAUCAUGUCAUGUCGUUUUAACUUCUCAAAUAAGCUUGCAUAGGACUCUCCUAUUGGUGUAAAACUAUAUUUCAUCUUUUGUUCCAUUCUAUACUCAUGGCUUGGAUGUGGGUUAUAAGGUACUUUAAAUUUUUGCGCAGGUGGGUGAAGAUUUUGUGAUACUCGUGCUCACUUUCUUGGGUGAUUUGAUGGCUGGGCAACAUACUGGGAUGGAUCAACAGAGUACGGGGGGUUCGGAGGUGGAUAGUAAUGCUUAGGGGCGUCGUGGAAAACCUGAUGAGGCUGCAAUACCUUCGAGAUGUUCUCCUAGGACCUCUUCUCGACCCUAAUAUUAUCAUGAUUUCUUCAUCCCUCUCAUUCGUGUCACCAGAUUCAAUUUGGACAGCCUGAGCUGCAGCUUUGAGAGCUGUUUGACUAAUAAUUCUACCUAAUUUAAGACCAUUCUCCACCAUUUCUCCCAUUUUGAUAGCUUUCGGGAGGGAUUUAUCCGCAAUAGACGUCAUGUAUUGAAAAUAAUUUGGCUCUUGGACUGUAGAAAGACAGUGAUUAACUCGUGGUCAUCCAUGGGUGGCUUAGCUCUAGCUGCCUGCUCUCUCCAUUUGAUGGCAUAUUCCCUGAAACUAUCAGUUGCUUUCUUUUUCAGGUUAGAGAGGGAAAUGUGGUUUAUGGCGAUGGCGAUGUUGUAUUAAAACUAUUUGACAAAGGCCCAUGCCAUGUCAUCCCAAACGUACCAGCAAGAUGUGUCUUGACCCAAAAACCAUUUAGAUGCUACUCCCGAGUGGCUUUCCCCAAAAUAAGCUAUAAGCAAUUCUUCAUUUCUUUCCACACCUCUCAAUUGGUUGCAAUACCGUUUCAGGUGGGCUAUGGGGUCUCCAUGUCCAAUGUAAUUUUCAAAUUUGGGAACCUUGAAACCAGGCGGCAAGUGGACAUCAGGGAACAUGCAUAGAUCAUUGAAGGCAACACUCUUUUGACCUGCCAUUGCUUGCGUGUUUUUCAAACAUUGUUUUGAUCUUUUCACUCUUUGGGUUAUUUAUUCCUGUACUCUCUUUCGGGCAGCCUUCUCAUGACGAGGAUCUCCUUGACCAUUAGCCCAUACUUGACGUAUUUCAGUCAUUUUCUGUUUCGAUGUUCUAUUUCCGAAACCACAGUAAAUCCUUGUUUAACCCUCUGACCCUGAGUCUCUUGAGCACUCGUAUCAUUUUCGAUGUCAGUUAUCAUUUUCCUUGUAUCUUGUGUUUCCAGCUUACCACAACCAACCACCUCAACUUCUUCACAAUUCAAAACAAACUUGUUAGAAUGGAUCGAGUCGGUUUUCACUAUUAACAUCUUUUCCGUUUUUAUUCAAUUUUCUUUUCUAAUUUUUCAUCAUUUUUCAUAUUUUUUUUUGUUGCAGUCGAAUCUUAUGGAGAUUGCCUAUGUACCAUGACCCCGCAUGAACUAUACCAUGCGUAGUUCUUGCAAAACGACAAUUAAACAUUUUUGGAAUUUUCCAUUUUCAUAAUAACAACUGACCAACUUAACGAUUAAAUACAGACUUGAAAAUCAAACGACACACAUACUCCAGUCAAAAGAAAUUCAAACCCAAAAUGCUAGAUUACUUCCUCUAUAUGUCAAUUUUGACCAAAAAUCCGAACGGUAUUCACUUCUCCACUGACUCAUUUUUUUUGUUUUUUCCAAAAUAAAAUAAAUGACCUGGUAUUGCAACCACGACCUUCCAGCGCCUCGGGGAAAAACAUUUUAAGGCUGUGAGGGUCAAAUAUAAAAAUAUGACCGUUGUUUUUUCAACGUCAGCCUUUUUUUUGAAUCCACUAGGCAAGCGCCUAGGAUUGGUUUUUAUAUUAAUAAUAGAAAAGAAAUAUAAAAUACAACAAAUAGAAAAAGUAUAUAUAAAGGGUACAAUAGCACCAGUAUUGUUACCCAUAUAACACAGCCGGGCUACCCUUAUUGUACUAAUCCUAUCGAGGCAUAAAAUAACCUCACUAGCAAGCAUGCAUAAAGAAAGAACUUCCUAAGACUAAAUGCUCAGUGAUCAUCACAGAGUUUAUAGCAUACUCUGUGAUGAUACUACAGAUGAUAAUACUUAUAAAAUGGUAAAAUAAUACAAUGUAACAAAUUGAGUAUUUCUCUUCUUUGUUGAAACUCGUGCAUUCUUCAAUUUGUAGCUCUUUCGCUUCUUCUUCCGCUUUCUUCAAAUAAUUUUCAAACUUGUUCAUUUCUUUUUGGAUUUAUUUGACCUUUCGGAAGUGGUAGGUACACUCACCUUUUGCUUUGCAUUUCUCAUUGGUGGUUUCCUAAGGGCAACAUCUUGUGUUGCUUUUUCCAUUGAAACUGUUAGCCUGCCAUCCCAGCUUCUAUCCCUUAUUCUAGUUUUCCCAUUUUUUCCGCUAUGUAAUGGCGACAAAUCACCUUUCCUCGCUGCCGCUGCCCGGAGUUGAUUUAGAGUAAUAUCUUCCUCACCUUCUUCACAAACAUCUCUGCCUAAAUAUAUAGGUUUUGGAAUUUGUUGAGGAAAAUCUUGUGAUACCAAAGUGUUAUCCUCUUUAGUGACCAAGACUGUGUUUGUUUAAUUUUUGUUAUUGGUGUUGGUCAUUCUUCCAGUGCUAGCAACAUUAGGUGCACAUAUAUUUUUGAAAGGCGUAGGACAUACCAACGCAUCAAGUAAUAUUCUGUCAUCCAAGGAGAUUGUUGGUACACUUAUUAGAGUAGUUGUGAGUGCAUUUUAAUUCAAUUGCUGCCCAUGUUGAGUAGUAGAAACAAAUGAAGUGAACUGCUGCUGCUGCCCAGGAUUCGUUGGUGCUGCCUCUCCUGUCAGCAUCGUUUUAGUUGUGGUUAUUUCUCCAUGUUGCUGCCUUGAGCUAGGGAUAAAAUCUGGAUCUGUUGCAUUGAGGCUGCUUCCAGAUCCUAUCUUAGCGUAGCUACCUCCUUUUGAAGUUGGAGACACUACUAAUGGAAUCUCUUAAUCACCAUUACAUUUCUCACCAUCGUCUGAAGAGUCAUCUACAAAAUCAUCUUCAUCAUCGAAUUCUCGUUGUUGAAUCCAUAUCUUGGAAUUUAUUGCGGGCUCCCUCACAUUUUCUUUGGUAAUAUCAUUAUCGUGUUCAUCAUCAUCUUCAUGUCGCUGUAGCCAAAAUUUGGAUUUGUUCUCCUUUUCUUUCACAAUCACACGCCCCACAUGGCCCACCUCCUUUUCCUUAAAUUGGUGCAUGCCAUGUGUAGUAGCAGAAGCUUUUUCCAAUAGCAAUAAAUUUUUUGUUGUACUUCAUUUGUAGUAGCAGUAGCAGAAGCAUUUUGCACUCCAUAAAUUAAAAUUGUAGGAAUUGUAUUAUUAAUUCCUUUGAGUGGACCCUUUUGAAACUGUGCGUAACAUCCGGUAGCCGCGAGUGCGUCAUUCAAAUGGCUCGUUGAAACAGCUGUAAAAUGUUUAUUUUUUCCAAAAUCACCUUGGACCGCAUAUUGGAUCUCAUUUUAGUCAUCUUUUUCGGCCCUAUUUUCUAUUUUAUCAAAAAUUUUGGCCACCUGUGGAAGACUUUGUUCCUUAGGAACUUUUGCCUUCUUAUUCUCUGCAGAAUCAUCAAUCACCAAACAUAAAUGGCCCAAUGACUUGUUAUUUAAUUGUUGCAAACCAUUAUUCCCAUCUUUUUUUCCAUGUGAUCCCACCCCAAAUGAAUCUUUCAUUACAUUCAAAUCAUGGCCCGCCUGUACUACAAUUUGUUGCAAAUUUUUAGAAUUUUGCACAUAAACAUGGUCGUUGCACUCUUUCCUUAACAAAAAAAGGUACAUGGCCCAUAGGCAUGUUUAUGCCACUUUUGCCCAUUUCCUUUUGCUUUUCCUCAAAAUCACUUUGCCAAGAUGGCCCACUCCCUUUUCCAUUUGCUGCACUUUAAUAAUGUUUCCAUUUCCACUAUGUCUAUUUUUGCCCACAGAAUAAUUUAUUUGUUGCAAAUUUUAAGCAUUUUGCACAUAAACUUGGUUGUCGCACUCUUUCCUUAUGAAAAAGGUACACGGCCCACAUCCAUGUUUAUGCCACUUUUGCCCAUUUCUUUUUGCAUUUCCUCAAUCACUUAGCCAAGAUGGCCCACUCCCUUUUCCAUGUGCUACACUUUAAUAUUGUUUCCAUUCCUAUUAUGUCCAUUUUUGCCCAAAGAAUAAUUUUGGACAUCGUUUCCAGCUGUAGCGUCAGAUUGGUCUUCAUUCAGACGAUCAUCCGCUGCAUUUUUUAGACUUUCCUUCACAAAAGCUGAAGCACAUUCACGACCCCACUGUCCCAUGUGCAGCAUGCCAUUUCCUUUUUAACCAAAUGAUUCUGCAUCAAUAAUAUUGUCGCCCGCUUUUAGUAUGGGCAUUGGAAUCCCAUUUCUUGCGGUUGGGCCCACUGUUUAAUGAGGCAUGUCAGCAACUACAAUUUUAUCACGUACAGUAGCUGCAGUAUCAAAAGUUGAAACAUUAGCUACGGAAAUUGUCCAUAGCAACAUGAUUUGAUUCAUUGUCAUUUUUUUGACUCUCAAUUUGAUUUCCUUCACCAUUUUAUGUAAAUUGUUGCUGUUCGAUCUUUUCUAUAUCAUCUUCUAGUUGCCCAGUUCUUGUUGUUGCUCCUUUUGAGACUACACCAGUUGAUAAAAUAUCUCCUUCGAUUUGUAGAGGUUGCUUCUCACCAAGACUUUCUUUUGUUGCAAUCUCUUCCCGUUGCAUACUUCUUUUUGCAUUAAGAUAUUCCUUUGCAUUUCCUUGAAGCUGCUUAGUCAUGGAUGUAUCGAUCACAGGAGGAUGACUCACAUCUACCGUAUCUUUUUCAACCCCUUCUUCCUCGGCUUGUCUCUUCAAAAUUCAACAUGAUUUUUCUUCGUGUCCUUGAUGUUUGCAGUAUGUGCAAAAUCUUGGGAGAUUAUCAUAUACAACUGGUUUUUCAUAGACGACUGAUUUUCUAGUAUUCUAUCCCUCAUAACAAUCUUGAUUUUUCUUGGAUGUUUGUCCGUAAGAUCUAGUAUUACUUUAACCAUAGACACACUAGGUCGUUUUCUCUCUUGUGUUGCCUUAUCCACAGCCAAAGGUUUGCCCACAAUAGAAGCAAUAGAUAAAUGCGAUCUUUUGGCAAAAAUAUUAGGAGGAAGGCCUGGGAACGAGAUCCAUAGCCAUGGAUGUUUCUUUCUUGGGAUUGAAGUUUAGUGUCCACGGAAACGUUCUAAAAAAGAAUUCGUCUCCUUUUGAUUUCAUAGAUCCAGUCUCCCUUGAUAAGAAGUUAACAAAGUCAUCAUAUAAUCAAAACAAACCAGCAUAUGAUGAUAUUCCAACAGACCAAUAUUACAUCGGCCAUGAACAUCGAAUUGCAUUGGAAAACUCUUUCUAAUCCCUUGUAAUUCUUGUUUUCCGUAUGAAAACUGCAUUUCUACUGCUUGAUGAAGUCCUUCUUCUCUACUAAAUUCAUUGACUUGGUCCAUGGUGAACUCAAUCGAUGGCUCCCCAUGCACAACCGCUACAGGCACUAAUUCGAGCUUCGACGCGACAGAUUGUUUUGGUUGAAGCUGGGCCGCAUAUGAUGGUUUGGGAAUUGAAUUUGUUGGUUGUUCAGUUGUGUUUUUGAUUGUCUCUCCCACAGCCAAAGGCUGUGGAGAGAUCACAGCAGCCAUGGCUGCCAAGCUCAAGGAAGAAGGGAGAGCGUACUUAUCUCUAAUUUUUUAUCUUCUUCUGCAAAGUCAGCCUUCCGGUGCCCUGUUUGGGAACAUUUGGCUAUUUUUUUCAGAAAUGGCAUCACCCGAUUUAUAUACAACACUUUUAUUGUUUGUUUUUUUUCUUCAAAUUAAAGUGAAUGACCCGAUGUUGCAAACACGACCUUCCAGCGCCUCGGGGACAAAGAGAUUAAGGCUGUGAGGGUCAAUAAUCAAAACCUGACCAAACGUGAUCAUUUAUGCAAAGUUAGCCUUCCAGCGCACCAUUUGCAAACAUUUGGCUACUUUUGACAACAACGGCAUCACCUGGUUAUUUAGGACAAAAUUUAAAAUUUUGACAUUUCUCGGCAAUUUUUUGUAAGGGGAGGUUGGUCCCGAUUAGGGUUUCCUACGUAUCUCACACCCUGUGAGAAUCAAACCAUGCGUAGUUCGGGCAAAUUAACCGAGCCAUUUCAAAACCUGGGUGUUUGUUCUAGACCUGGCUUAACCGAGCGGACAGCUCGAGGCGAGGGGAGGCAGCAAUCUGUGAAUACAGAAGCUUCACCGGCUUUGCAACUUAUCCAAACCUCUUUCUAAAUUGGUAUUUUUACACUAUACAGAAAAGAAGUCGUACGAAGUACACCCUUCUUCAUGACUCAGAAGACUUAGAGAGAAAAUUGGUUUCGGCUUAGUUUAUAUACAGUUUGCAUAAUAUCAAUGCACUAAAAGGCAAUCAAUUAGCACAUUGGGCACAUAUCAUGUAAAAACAUCACACAAAGCCAUACACAAAACUAUUCCAAGCUCGAAUUCUGAAAUAUGAACAAAACGUUCUAGGUUGUAUUCCCCAGCAGAGUCACCAGAGCUGUCACACCUCCUUUUUCACUAUACACCCCCGCAAGGGGCAUAAAAGAGAUAUUCCAAUUAAAGGACAAUCAUAACGGAAUCUAUUAUUAAAAUUUCAGAGUUGCCACAUGGGAGAUUAAUGGUGUCCCAAGUCACCGGUUGAAUCCCGAAUCGAAGAAUAUCAUGACUCUGUUAACAGUCCGCGAACCAGAAAUCCGGAUAAGGAAUUGUGUUUACUUGGGAGAAGGUGUUAGGCAUUCCCUAGUUCCGUUGUUCUAGCACGGUCGCUCAACUGUUGCAUUUAUCUAAUUAUCUGACUUUAUUACAUGAAGAACCUAUGUGCCAAUUUUUACCAUUUACUACUUUUAUUUAAUAUAUUUAUUUGAGAAAGUGAACGUCAUUUAAAAUGUGUUUUCUGAUUGCGCCGUAUGAAAUGAACUUGCAAUCCUAGACACACUCUAUUCAACAUUUCAGGAUUUUGGAUUUGGGUCGCAUAAAAUCCCACAUGUAUUUAGGAAUGUAAUUUAUUAAUGUCGCGCCUAGUAGAUUCUAACACGUUGUAACCUUUUGGGAGGUAUGUGAAAUUCGUUAAAUGGCCUUUCUCGAUUUUCUAAUUAUUUUUUUAAUAAACAUUUAUUGAGGGCCUCGCAAUUUUGCAUUUUUAUUGGGCGAGGCUCGUCUCAUGUUAUUUUAAAGGAUAAGCCUAAAAGCAACUAUAUUUUCUAUUUAUAUUCCGUCUCUAAUAAAAAGAAAAUCCUAAUUGAUUAUUAUCCGAACCCGGGUUUCAAUUUCAUGUUCGGGCCAAAAUAAAAGGACGGACCUUUUAGCUUAGACCUGCUACCUAACUCAAAACCCGAAAUUAUUAAGUCAACCCUGGAUUGGAAUCCAUAAAAAAUAGGACCAAAUAAAUGGUCCAUUUCGCCUGAAGAGCGUCUGACUCUACUGCACAUUCAUGGCAUGAAUUACACGGGACCCAAAGGUGGGCAAAGGCAGGCCCAGACCCAAUUCAUAAGACCUCAAUUGCCUAAAUUGGCCAGAUCUAACGGAAGAGGUCAUGGGAUCGAUUCCCGGCAACAAGCCACAUAUGGGUCAUUCCCAGACCCAAGCUAAAGCUUCCAUGACUAGACUGUCCCUAAAGUCUAAUAACAUCUGAGUUUGAAUUACUGAACCAAUUUAUACUUCAAGGAUUAAUGAAUCGCCAACACUAGACAAAGCAAUUGAUUAUGUAUGUGCUCUUACCUAAUUCCUAUAUCUCAGCCAUAGAAGAUUGUUUUUAGAACUACUGCCCACAAUGAUCAAUGAAUUCAAAUCUUAACAAAAGCAUGCAAAACUGAUUCACAGCCUGAACCUAUACUCAAAUAUAUGCGACUGAGAUGAACUCAACUUCCUUCCUUAUGUACUCGACAUCAGUAAUACAACACAAUUAGAAAAAAAUUAACCAAUUUCUAUUUCACAUAACCAUUGAAAUGAAACUAACUUCAAAUUAAUUAGUUAAUUAAACACAGUUAUUUAUAGUCAUUCACGUAAUGACCAAACAGUCCUAUUACAGUUCAUUAAAAUAAGGUAGUCUAAACAGUUGUUAUACAAAAUAAAUAUUGAGCAUUCAACUACAUUCAUUCAACUGGCAAAUGUCACAUUGCAGAACAACAUCCAAAUGAGCUUAAUUCUAGUAGGCAUAUUGAUUUCAAUGUCUACUCAAAGUUACAUCAAAGUAAUUCAGAGGUGUACCUAGGAAUCAAAAUUUAACAGGAAAGAGGAGAGGUUAGCACAACUGCAAGGAGCAACACUCAACCAGGAAGGAAUCAAUGCAAUAACCCAGGAGAGGUUGGAACUAGGCAACUCAACAAUCAACCACAAACCACUCGAGUGAAAUGGAAAUUUGACCGAGGAAACACAGAACAUAUUCAACAAUCGAGCAAACAACGAUAAGCCCCCGAAGUUACUCUAUAUGCUGUAAAUCUUACACACAGAACUGAAGACAAUGAUGUUUGAGCUAUUUCUAAUGCUAAUAGAAAAAACGAAUCACUGAUUAAACCUUAAAUAUGAUCUAGUGUGAAGCAGUGAAAUAUUUUUUUUUAAUUUUUGUUUAUAUUUGCUUUUUGUUUGGUCUUUUUUUAUGAUUUGGAGUUUGAUUUCAAGUUUCAGAUCUGAAUCUUGUAGAGAAAAUGGGGGAACUUUUUUUUAUGAGGCUCCAAACUAUCGUACAAAAUUAGAAAAGAAUUUCACUAAUAAUCAGACUAAAAUCAAAAAAUUAAAAUGAAUUAUAAUCUAAGAAUAUCAAUAGCUAAUGAUUGUCUAGGCCAGUUCUUGACCGCCUCAAUGUUCUUUGAAUCAACCUGAAUACUCUCUGCUAAUACCACAUGACCCAGGAAUGCAACUGAACUAAACUAGAAUUCACAUUUCAAGUACUUACCAUAUAACUGGCUAUCCCUCAAGGUCUGAAGAACCACUAUGAGAUGCUGCUUGUGCUCCUUAAAGGCUGCUGGGAUAUUUGUCAAUCCGAAUAACAUCACCAAGAACCUAUAAUGCCCAUACCGAGUGCAGAAAGCGAUCAUAGGGACAUCAGAUGCCCUAAUCCUCAACUUAUUGUAGCCAUUCAAUCUUUAAUAAUUCCUUAGCACCCUGAAGUUGAUCAAACAAAUCAUCAAUCCUCAACAAUGGCUACUUAUUCUUGAUGGUAACCUUUUUCAAGUGCCGGUAACAUAUACUCAUUGUCGUCGAUGCAUGCUUAUCAAAAAACACCGACGAACCCCAAGGAAAAGUACUCGGCCUAAUGAAACCCUUCUAAAGCAAGUAUUGCAAGCUCCUUCAACUCUUUCAACUGAGGCGAGGCCAUACGAUACGACAAAAUGGAAUGGGCUGAGUGCCUGGAGCCAAAUCAAUGCAAAAGUCAAUGUCCUUGUUGAGUGGCAUACCCGACAUGUCUGAAGGGAAUACCUUACGAAACUCAUGAACUAUGAGCACAUAAUCAAUAGAUGGAACCUUAGCACUAGGAUCACGAAUAUAGGCCAAACACCCUUUAUCGACCAUAUGUCUAGCCUUCACAUACGAGAUAACACAGCGGGUGGAAUGAUCAGAACUCCCGCACCACUCUAAAUGAGGUAACCUAAUGUCACAGUUUUGGCAUGACAGUCCAAGAUAUCAUGGUAAAGUGAUAACCUGUCCAUCCCCAAUGUGACAUCAAAAUCAACCAUGUACAGAAGAAGCAAAUCUGAUGUUGAGACCUACUCGGUGCUUGAGGGCAAAAGCUAGAAGUGUCACCCAUAUCACCAUAAGUGCAACAACUCCUCGACUGGUGAGACUGCUGACCCUGACCACCUGAAUGACCACCUCGAAAACAUUGAAAUGGCAGUGCAUUGAUAGAAGCUGUGGUGCAAUGUAGGACUGCUGAUCAGAAUACUAUAUUUGAGGACCGUGGCCACCCGAAGCACCAUGAGAAACCUGGAAUGCCGACUGAAAUGUCCUAGGAGGAUGUCCUCUACGAUACGAAUCCCUACUUCCAAACGAGGUACCAUUGAAUUUGCCUGAAUGACGGGGCCUCUUGUUUGACCCUUAACCACCUACCUACGACAGAACCAUCUCCACUCUCCUGGCCACAUUGGCCGCCUCCUGGAAUGAUAUCACACUCCUAGUGUCUCUAGCCAUUUGAAGACGAAUCGACAGAAUAAGUCGAUCAAUAAACCUCCCCACCCUCUCUCUAUCUCUUGAACCAAACUUUACCAUUAUUCACAUAACAUUUCACUUUCAAAAACCUUUAUAAUAUUCAAAAAACAAUUUCUUUUAGAUAUUCAUUUCUCGAGCUUGGGACCUUGGAAUCCGAUUCCAGGCAUACGCCCAACUCCCAUAUUUAUAACUGACCCUCCGAGACCGUUGAAUUAUGUAUCAGGAUCCAUUUACCCAAAACGUUGACCAAGUCAAAUUAAUAUAUUUUUAUAGUUAAUUCAUAGAUUUUGAUAUAUGGGUUUUCUGGCGCGCCCGAACAGCACAGGAAAAUCGAGUAAUGCUAAAAGAAGUUUGUAAGACCUCGGAACACAGAAUUUAUUUUAAAAACAAGUGAUGACCUCUUAGAUCAUCACAUUCUCUACCUUCAAAACAACAGUUCGUCCCCGAACGAAUAGAAGAAUGAAGUACUCGAGUCGGGGAAAAGAUUGGGAUAACGGCUCUGCAUAUAGGAUUCAGACUCCAGGUCAAUGCCUGGGAAGGCUGACCUCUCCACUAAACACGAACACAAGGAAAACUCUUCGAUCCCAACAUAUGAACCUGCUGGUCUAGAAUAGCUACCAGCUCCUCGUCAUAAGACAAGUACUUGUCCAACUGGACAAUGCUGAAAUGUAACACGAGGGAUGGAUCGUCGUGAUAUUUUCGAAGCAUGGACACAUGAAACACUAGAUGUAUGGCUGAUAAUCACGUUGGCAAUGCAUUUCUAUAAGCUACCUCUCCCACUCGAUAAAGAAUCUGAAAAGAUCCAAUGAAACUAGGGCUAAUCUUGCCCUUCUUCCCAAACCUCAUCACGCCCUUCAUAGGAAACACUCAAAGCAAUACCCGCUUAUCUACCAUGAAUGACAAAUCACGAACCUUGCCGUCGGCGUAACUCUUUUGUCUAGAUUGAGCUGUUUGUAGCCUAUCCUGAAUGAUCAAGGACCUUGUCCAAGGCAUCCUGAACCAGAUCCUUACCCAACAACCGAGCCUCUUCCUGCUUAAACCAUCAAACUGGGGACCGAAAUCGCUAACCAUACAAAGCCUAGUAUGGAGCCAUCUAAAUAAUCGACUGGUAGUUGUUGUUGUAGUCACACACUAUUAAAGGCAAAACUUGAUCCCACAAGCCUCUAACGUCAAUAACACAAGCUCGGAGCAUAUCCUCGAAAAUUUUAAUGGCCGCUCGGACUCCCUAUCCAUAUGAGGAAGAAACACUAUGCUCAACUUAACCCAUGUGCCCAACUCUUGCUAAGUUGCUCUCCAUAAGCGUAGGUAAACCGCGUACCUCAGUGCAAAAUGAUAGACACGAACACACCAUGAAGGCGAACCAUCUCGCAGAUAUAGAUUUCAACAAACCUCCAAGAGGAAUAGGAGACUGCCACAGGAAUGAAAUGCGCUGACUUGGUCAGCCUAUGAACAAUGACCCAUACCGCAUCGAACUUUCUUUGAGUCUAUAGGAGUCCAACAACUAAAUCCAUUGUGAUCCGCUCCCACGUCCACUCAGGAAGCUCAAUCCUCUUAAAUAAUCCAUCAGUCCUCUGAUGUUUGUACUUAACCUGCUGACAACUCAAACACCGAGACACAUACGCAACGAUAUCCUUCUUUAUUCUCCUGCACCAAUGAUGUUGCCUCAAAUCUUGAUACAUAUUAGCGGCAUCCGGUGUAGAGUAUCGGGAGUUAUGGACCUCCUAAAAAAUCAGGUCUCGGAGUCCUUCCACAUUAGGCACACAAACUCGACCCUGCAAUCACAAAAACUUCAUCAUCACCUAAGGUAUCGUGCUUGGCACCUCCGUGUUUCACCGUACCUCUAAGGAUACACAAAUAGGGAUCAUCAUACUGCCGAUCACGGAUACACUCAAAUAAGGAAGAACGAAUGACCAUGUAAGAUAACACACUAAUGGGCUCAAAACACACAACCUCAUGAACUGAUUGGCCAAAGCCUGAACAUCCAAAGCAAGCAGGCUAUCACCGGCUGGAAUAUAAUCAAGACUGCCCAAACUGCCAGACUUCCUACUCAAAGCAUCGACUACCACAUUGGCCUUUCUCAUAUGAUAUAAGAUGUUGAUGUCAUAAUCCUUCAAAAAAUCCAACCACCUCCUCUACCUCAAAUUCAACUCAUUUAGCUUGAACAAAUACUGAAGAGCCUUGUGAUCCGUGAAUACCUCACAUGCCGCAAUUGUACAGAUAAUGCCUCCAAAUCUUCAACGCGUGAAUAAUGGCUGAGAACUCCAAAUCCUGAACCAGAUAGUUCUUUUCAUGAAUCUUCAAUUGCUGUUAAGCAAAAGUAAAUACCUUGGCAUACUGCGUCAACACUGCCGCAAGUCCAAUAUGUGAUGCAUCAUAAUAAACUGAAUAAGGCCCUAAACAUGUGGGCAAAACCAAUACUGGUGCCAUAGUUAGAGUUGUCUUAAGCUUCUGAAAGCUCUCCUCAUACUCAUCCGACCAUCUAAAUUGGGCACCCUUCUGGGUCAACUUGGUCAUUGGGGCUGCGACAGAUGAUAACCCCUCUACGAAUCGACGAUAGUAGCCUGCCAACCCUAAGAAACUCUGUAUCUCUGUAGCUGAUGCUUGUAUAGGCCAAUUCUUGAAUUACUCAAUCUUCUUCAGAUAAACUUGUAUACCCUCUGAUGAUACCACAUGACUCAGCAAUGUAAAUAAACUCAACUAGGACUUAAACUUCGAGAACAUAGCAUAUAACGGACUAUCCCUCAAUGUCUGAAGAACCAUUCUGAGAUGUUCCUCAUACUCAUCCCGGGCUUUGGAAUAGAUCAUAAUAUCAUCAAUGAAGACUAUCACGAACGAAUCUAAAUAUGGCAUGAACACUCAGUUCAUCAAAUCAAUACAGGCCACUAGUGCAUUUGGCAACCCGAAUGACAUCACCAAGAACUCAUAUUGCCCAUACCGAGUGCGGAAAGCGGUCUUAGGGACAUUAGAUGGCCCAAUCCUAAACAGAUGGUAGCAAAAUCUCAUAUCAAUCUUCGAAAAUACAUUAGCACCCUAAUGCUAAUCAAUAAAAUCAUCAAUUCUUGCUAAUGGGUACUUAUUCUUUAUUGUAACGUUUUUCAGCUUCCGGUAAUCAAUACGUAUUCUCAUCGAUCCAUCCUUCUUCCUUACAAAACAACACUGGUGCACCCCAAGGUGAAACACGUUGCCGAAUGAAACCCUUAUCAAGAAAGUCUUGCAACUGCUCCUUCAACUCUUUCAACUCAGGUGGGGCCAAACGAUAUGGGUUGAGUGCACGGAGGCAAAUAAAUGCAAAAGUCAAUAUCUCUGUCGGGUGGCAUACCCGGAAGAUCUGAAGGGAAUACCGUAGGAAACUCACGAACCAUGGGCAUAUCAUAAAAGAUGGAACCUCAGCACUAGAAUCACGAACAUAGGUAAAAUAGGCCAAACACCCCUUCUCGACCAUACGGCGAGCCUUUACAUACGAGAUAAAACUACUGGUAGAAUAACCAAGAGUCCUUCUUCACUCUAUACGAGGUAAAACCGGUAAGGCUAAGGUCAUUUUAUUGACAUGAUAGUCAGAGUUAGCGUGGAAAAGUGAUAAUCAGUCCAUUCCCGAUAUAACAUCAAAAUCAACCAUGUCCGAAGAAGGAAAUCUACACGAGUCUCAAGACCUCAAAUCACAGCUAUAAAUGCACAAUGGACUCGAUCUACCACAAUAAAAUCACCCAUCAAUUGUAGAAACAUAGACAGAGGCACUAAAAGAAUCACUAGGCAUGACCAGAUAUGAUGCAAAAUAAGAUGAUACAUAUGAGUAUGUAGACCUUGGAUCAAAUAACACUGAAUCAUCUCUAUAAUAAACCUCAACCGUACCUGUGAUAACAACAUCGGAAGCCUCAGCCUCGGGCCUGGCUGGAAGAGUAAAACAUCGAGGCUGGCCCCAAAAAUCCUGUACUAUAUCUCUAGGAAGACCUACUGUUGGCUGGCUUCCACCUCUAGCGGCUUGAGGUCCACCUCUAAUACCUCUACCUCUACCUCAAACUCUAGCACCUAUACCCCCACCUCUAGCUGGCUGGGCGGGCGAUGGAACACCUACUGCUUGAAGCAUGGCACGGGAACCUUGAUACAGAGGGCUACUCAUUAGUUGAGGGAAAAACCAAUCAAUAUGACCAAUGGACCAUAUCACCACAAGUGUAACAAGCCCUAGGCCGCUGAGUUUACUGACACUGAUGACCAGAAUGACCACCCAAAAACUUUGAAGUGGCGGUGCACUGAUAGAAGCUGAUGGUGCAUUAUAGGACUGCUGGUCAAAAUCUGCAUCUGAGGACCACGACCACCUGAAGCACCGUAAGAAACUUGGAGUGCCGAGUGCAUAGGCCUUGGAGGAUGGCCGCUACUAUACGAAUGCUUACCUCUAGACGGGGUACAACUGAAUUUCCUUAAAUGACAGGGCCUCUUGUCUGACCCAUGACCAUCUCCCUAUGACAGAACCAUCUCCACUCUCCUAGCCACAUUGGCUGCUUCCUGGAAAUAUAUCUCACUCCUGGUCUCCCUAGACAUCUAAAGAUAAAUCAGCUAAAUAAGUCCAUCAAUGAACCUCCUCUCUCUCUCUCUCUCUCUCUCUCUCUCUCUCUCUCUCUCUCUCUGAGGGACGUAUGAUAAGAGAAUGACGAGCGAAGUUGAGAAAUAUGGUCUCAUACUAGGUAACAAUCAUUGAACCUUGCUAGAGAUGCUCAAACAGCCUUUAAUAGGCCUCUCUCUCAAUGAUAGGGAGAAUCUUCUCCAAAAAUAGUUGAGUAAAGUGCUCCCAAGUCAAAGCUAGCGAUGCGGCUGGUUUAACCAAUUGUAAUCUCUUCAUUAAGUCUUGGCGAAUCUAAACAAGUGAAAAGUGGAAAAAUUAACCAUAUGAGUCUAAACUAUCCCCAUGUUCCUGAGAACCUGGUGACUGUUGUCUAGAUAAUCUUGGGGAUCCUCAGUAGAUGCACCACUUAAAGUAGUAGCGAAGAGUUUGGAAAACCUAUCUAACCUCCACAAAGCAUCGGCGGACAUAGCUGCUGCAUUAUCGAUUUGAGCUACCACAUCCAGCUGAACUACUCCAACUGGCUAAAAUGCUGGAGUCUGAAACUGGGGAGGUACCUACUCCAGAGUGCGUGUAGUAGGAGUCUUGGCUCCUCCUCCAGCUUGAGAGAUGACAGUUGCUACAGGAAGCAACCCUACCUAGGUUACACUCUCCAUAAGGCCCACUUGACAGUCCGAAGCUUCCUGAAGAACUGGGGUGGAAAUAAACCCCUAUGGGACCUCAGUCAGGGCCCACCAGAACUACUAAGGCUUAAAUAUCAUCAUCAAAACCAACCUGAGACUCCAUUGCGGGUGCUGCUGCUCUAGACUGAGCUCUACCCCUACCUCAACCUCUAGCAUAGCCUCGUCCUUACCCUCUAGAAUUGCCUCGUCCUUGCCCUUUUCCCCUCGUGGGAGUUGCUGUUAGGGGCUUGGACUGCUGGUCAGCAGAUGAGGAAACGCGUGUUCUCACCAUUUGUGAAAGAAAAGAGUAGAAAUUCAAUUAGCAUUGAGAAACAAAACCCCACGACAUGAAUGAAUAAAUGUGAAGUUUUUCUAACUUUGUAUCCUCUAGGGGACAAAUACAUGCAACUCCGUACCGAUCCCUAAGACUCUACUAAGCUUGUCUAUUAAGUGUGUGACCCAUGUAACCUAGAGAGUCGUGAUGGCACCUACUAAUGUGAGCUAGGCAAGCCAAUCUUGUAACUACUUACUUCAUUAAUCAAUAUUUUUUAAUAAAUAUAAGGCGAUAAUGUAUAUAUAGUGAACUUUAAAUUGAAGCGGAAUACAUAGUUCACAAUAUGUCUAUUACAAUUACUCAAGCCUUAAUCACCCAAAAUCUUGUUUCAUAGUGACAUAGACGGUCCAAGAUUUACUACAUACAAGGUCUGAAGAAAAUAAUAAUACCCUAUUUCUAAAUAUAAGGAAAGUGAAAAAGGAAAUAGGGAUACACGAAAUUCUAGGGACUACGGAUGCCUGCCGGUCUACCUUCGAUCUCCUUGUUGACUGAGAGUAGCAUCCAAACUAUGGUCCAAGAGCUGGUCUGGGAUCUGCACAUAGUACAGAGUGUUGUAUCAGCACAACCGACCGCAUGUGAUGGUAAGUGUCAAGCCUAACCUCCGCAAAGUAGUGAUGAGGCUAGGACGAGACUUCAAAAUAAACCUGUGCAGUUCAAAUAUAUAUACAGAGGAAAAGGAGUACAGAAAUAACCAGUCAUGUAUGGGAGGGGGAGCAUGCUAUGGGGGAGUUGUUAAAUCCGAAUAGAAAGACAAAUGUAAAUAGAAGAAGUAAUAAAUCUCAUAUAUUAACCAAUAGAAACAAAAAGCAAUAAUUGCACGGCAUCAUCCUUCAUGCUUUUACUCACAUUCUUACCAAAAUAGUCAUAUAAUGAAAACAUGCACGACAUCAACCUUUGUGAUUUUACUCUCUUCCUUACAAUAUAAUUAAUAUAAUUUUCACAGAAUGGUACGUAGUGUGGCACGACUUCACCCUUCGUGCUUUACACUCUUUCUUUACAAUCAUACAUGAUAUUAUCCUUCGUGCUUUACACUCUUUCCUUACAAAAAUAAUGCACGUCAUCACCUUUCGUGCUUUAACUCUCUUCCUCACCCAAACCACAAUCACAAACAACAGGGCAAGAGUAUAAAUGAAAUUUUAAUAAGAAUCCCGGCAAGGGAAUAACAAUUCAAAAAUUUAGUCCCGAUAAUGGAGACAACAAACAAAGAAACAAUAGCUCGGCAAAGGUUGCAACAUAAUGAUCUCUCCUCUUUCUUAUUUUUACUUCAUAAUUCACUUCACCGCUCGAGCCAGUGCUCUAUUGGUUCAAUUAUCACGUAUACUUUCACAAUUUGUUAUACAACUUGAGCCAACGCUCCUCAAUGUUCAUAGGUCACAAUUCCUUCCACAAACUUUANNNNNNNNNNNNNNNNNNNNNNNNNNNNNNNNNNNNNNNNNNNNNNNNNNNNNNNNNNNNNNNNNNNNNNNNNNNNNNNNNNNNNNNNNNNNNNNNNNNNNNNNNNNNNNNNNNNNNNNNNNNNNNNNNNNNNNNNNNNNNNNNNNNNNNNNNNNNNNNNNNNNNNNNNNNNNNNNNNNNNNNNNNNNNNNNNNNNNNNNNNNNNNNNNNNNNNNNNNNNNNNNNNNNNNNNNNNNNNNNNNNNNNNNNNNNNNNNNNNNNNNNNNNNNNNNNNNNNNNNNNNNNNNNNNNNAGGUCACAAUUCCUUCCACAACCUUUACACAACAAAUAAAAACCACGACUAAGGCAUGAAAGAUACAAUGGAGUCAUGAUAAUCACAAUAUAAAGACUCACAGUCAUGCUAGACACCAACAUAUAGAUACUCGUCACCAUGCUUAUACGUCAUACUCAACAAUUACCACAUAGCAAAUAGGAAUCGACACCUAAUCCCUCAAGCUAAGGCUAGACAAAACACUUACCUUGAUUCCACGAACACAAUUCAUAACUCAACUAUAGCUUUACCCCUUGAUUCCUCCACCAAUUCGCUCGUAUCUAGUCACAAAUUACUUAAUUACAUCAAUAAACGGUAAAUGAAUAAACCUCUAUGCAUGAAAAUGCAUUUUGUAAAUAUUACCCAAAAAGUCCGAAAUUGGCCCCUGGCCCACGUGGUCAAAACCUGAGGUUCGAACCAAAACUCGUUUACCUUUUCCCCAACAAACCCAAAAUCUAAUAUUUUUGAAAUCAGACCUCAAAUCGAGGUCAAAAUCCCUAAUUUUUGAAAACCCUAGGUAUUAACCAAAGCACCAAAUUUCCCCCAUUGAAAUCAUUAAUUUUCAGUUGAAAUCAUGUUAAAAGAUGUUAAUAAUUGAAGAAAAUAAGUUAAAAUUAACAUACAAUCGAUUUUGAAGAUGAGUUGUUCUUGAAAAAUCGCCCUAGGGAGUUUGUGUUUUUAAAAGAUAUGAAAAAUGGGUUAAAAGUCAUCAAGGUAUAAAAGUUGUAGGUUGCAGAUGUGGGAAAUGCGAAUCUUGUCACUAAUGGAAGGAAUGCAAGACGACCCACACUCACACCCUUUCUACUCAUGGCAUUAGCCAUCACAUUGGACUUUCCCAGAUAAUACAAAAUGGUAAUAUCAUCUCUGCUAUCUCAAAUUGAGAUACUUCUCUUAGCACAUGAUUUUUUCCUUAUAUAUGAAUAAUUCCAAAAAAUUCAAACAAAAUUAUUUUUCCUGUAUACGUACAAUUUUGUGAAUUUCGUGUCAUUUUCUAAUAAUUGUCGCAUUUUAUUUGUGCAUUUUAAUUCGUAUGAAAAAUACAAAAAAUACAUUUGCAAUUUUUUAUUUAAUAUCCCAUUUUUAGUAUUAAUUAGAAUUUAAUUUUUUUAGAACAAAAUAUAAUGAAAAAUUUACAAUAAUAGUCCACUUUUACAUUUUAGUCGUUUUAAUUGAUAAUUUAUCGUGAAAUAGUUUUAAACAAUUUUAGGAGUUAAUUAGUUUAGCCUUGAAAUGUGUUUGAACUUUAUUUUUAUUUCUUGCAGUAUUAUAAAAUCAAAAAAUACAAAAAAAUAAUAAAUAAUAUAAAAAAGCAAAAAAAUUACAAGAAAUAAAAGAUAAAAGAAAUAAAAAAAAUGGUCUUUAAAAAAGGACAAAAUUUGGGCCUCCCGUGGUCAAAUCCCAAUUUACCACACAAUAAUGCCCAACCGGACCCAGGCCCAAAUCACACGCCCAGGCCCAUAAAUUCCUCCAACUUGAUCCAGUUCCUAAACUAGCCGAAUGGCGUCGUUUGGCUUUAAGUUCAAUCUCAGCCGUUGAUUGAUUUUAAUCCAACUGUCCCGGACUGUCCUUCGUCGUUUAAUAAUAAUUUCCAAUGAUAUGGCCAACCCUACACGACCAAACUCGUCUUCAUCGUACUACUCUGUAUCUCUACCGGCAGAGCCGCCGCCGUUGAACGCCACCUUCUCUGUUUAACCAAUAAUUAACACCACCGUUUCUCCUUGUCUUCCUCAUCUCGAUUUCCUGGUCCAUUUCCUUCAAAUCCCUCCAUAUCUCGUCGAAUAUUGGAUCGAAAUAUGUUCGGCCAUGACGCCACUUACCCCAAAUGAAACCAAAAUAAUACCCUAGGGUCACCCGAGCACCCUCUACCCAACCCCCAUAACCACUCAUCUCGAAUCUGGCCGGAAGUGCCUGAAUAUCAAUUAAAGUUUUUCCGGCCAAAACACUAAAUAAUCCAAUCUUGAUUGAGUGAGCACGAUGAGAUCCAUGCGACUUAUUCGUGGGAAAUUGAUCAUAAUUAUAGUCCAAACAUCGUCUGAAUUUGCUAAAUUUGGGAAGCAAUUUGACCGGAGUCUUAAAAUGAGUUGGUGAGUCUUUGAGUUUAUUUUCUUUUAUUUUCUUUCUCUUAAUUUUUACUGACCUUCCAUGGCUAUGUAGCUUCUUAAUUUUGUUUAGUAAAAUUGCCUGUCCGAAAUUGUUGACCCUCCUUUACUUCUGCUUCAUUUUGACCCUUGUCUACUUGAAUCAUAAUUAGUUUUAAGUGUUAGUUUCUAUGCAUUCUGUUAACAGUUAGAUUUGUUUUGAUUUUGUUGCUUGAAUGAUGACUCAUUAUUUUAGUCUCAAUUAUAGUUCUGUUUAGUUAGUAAUAGCCUGAAAUGUUAUUUGGUUAUUAACUAUGAUUAGGUUUAGUUGGUUUCAAGUUUUUUGAUUGAAUGAUUUAGUUCAACAGCAAUUGAUCAAUUUGCUGUGUGUUUAGUUUGAUAAAGUUUGUUAACUAGAUAAUUAUCGGUAGGGUGUUAGGAUAAGUAAUUUUAGAGGUAUUAAAGGGUAGAUUAGGUAUUUGGUAUUGGUGAGAACAUGGUAGAUCACACUAGAAUAGUGUAUACCUUUCUAGAAUAGGACCCUAGUGAAUAUCUCAGUAAACUCAGGGUGUUUCAUUGAAUAACAAGGUCAAAAAUGAAGGACAACAACUGAAAAUUAGGAGGGACUAAAACAAAAACAGAAAACCUGAUUGUGCCUAUAAAAGGGAAUGACCUUUGCUUUACUAAGAAGUUGGGGAGCCUCAAAAAUUCCCCCCAAAGUGAUUUCCCAUCUGCAAAUCUAAAGUUCAAAAUUUAAAUUCCAAAAAUAAAAAACAAAAAACAAUAGGAAAUCCCAGAAAAACUCCAAAAAUCAAAAACAAUGACAAAAUCUGAUAAAAAACCAAAAAAUUAUUGUUCCAUUAGAAUUUCAGUUUAAUUUCAAGUUAUUGGAGUAUCUAGCAUUCAUUUUUGUAGUUCAGGAUCUAAUAUUGGAGUUCCUAGAUCAAUACUUAGAAGCAUGAAAUUUUAGAGGUGUGAUUGAUUGAUUUUGAAUGAACUUGGGUUAAAGCGAGACUCUUUUAGGCUGUUUUAUUAUCUGAUGAAUUCAGAAUUGGUUCUGAUAUAGUUUUGCUGUCUGUAUGGGUGUUUUUGAGUUAGUUUGAGAUCAGUGAAGCUAGUGUGGUUGAGUUUGAGGUCUGUUGAAAGCUUCAAGGAUAUUCUAGGUUCAUUUUUAAGUUUGUUUUGUCUAUUUCAAUACUGUGAUUUCUUCGAAUUAACUCUGGGUUCAUUUUUUGUAAUACUCGCUGGGUUAUGGACUAGAUUAUGUGGUUGCAUGACUAUUGACUCAUUAUUGAUUGAUCUUCACGCAUCCUGCACUCUAUUUUUCUAUGUACUCAUUUGGACCUCUGCUGUAACCUGGAGUUCGAAACAAGGAAUGAAACUGCCCUUCAGCUAAAUCUACUUAAUUUUCUAUUUUUAAUUAUAGCUUAGUUCAAUAUAUUUAUGUUUUCUAGAUCAAAUUUAUAAUUAAAUUUGACUGAGGGUACUGUGCAUAUUUGGUUAUAUAGUACGUGAAGUGUAAUCUGAAUUUUACUUACUUGAAUAAUAAACACAUGAUUCCUGUUUACUCAUUUAAAUUAUUAGGUGCUUGUGUGUCCAAGUGUUAGUUCAUUCAUGAAGAGGACUGUUAUUUUUCCUUUUUUUCUGAAAAACUAUCACCUGGAUAGUCAUCGCUAUUAAUAAUCUCGUAUGAUUUAAUUUGGAUGUUUAUAGAGUUGAAUCGAAUUGUUGUUGAGAUAAAUUUGAAGCCAUUGGUCUUGAAAAGUUAGUUUGGUCACUCUUAAAAUAACGAUUGUUGUGUUUCGCGGAUUUCAGGACAAAAUUGAAGGCGUUAGAGUAAACCAACUGAAACAAGCUUUGGUAGUUUUGUGUGCGUAAGUAUAAUUACAUGAAAUAAGUCUUGGGAUAACUGUGUCCAUUAAAUUUCUAUGUUUUUUCCAAGGUUUUCGGCUCAACAUUCCCUCCUCAAGAUAUAAAAAUCUCAGUGCAAUAAUGAGCAGCCCAGGUUUUUUCUCUUUGACCGCGCGUAUGCGUUUGGACCUGCUCGUUUCGGGGCCCAAUGUUUGUCUUGUGUAUCAAGUUACUAUUUGAUCUACUUCAGUGCAAUAAAAAAUUAGUUAGGACCUUUAUUUUGUGUUUUUCUUCAGAGACAAAUAAAGAUAAAUAUAAUAGUUUGCUUUUAGGUUUGUCGUUUUAAAAUAAAUGAGAUGAGCCCCACAGAAUAAAAAUAAAUAAAUGUGGGGCCCUCAAUAAAUGGUUAUUAAAAAUGGUUAGAUUUUGGGAGGUCCAUUUAGUGAACUUCAUGGUCUUCCCCAAAAUAAUAUUACGUUAGAAUCUUUAGGCACGAUUUAAUUAAGUUACUUUCCUAAAUAAGGGUGCACAUUUAUGUUACGAAAAUCAAAAUCUCAACGGAGUCAGAGUGCAUUGACAAUUACGGGUGCGUUGACUGCGAUGUGGUUCUAGACGCAUUUUUACAACAUGGAAAUUCUACUAAUAUAAUUGAAAAAGUGGUUUACGAAUAAAAGGCACAUAAUCUAGCAUGUAUUAAAAUAAGAUAAAAUCAAAUACAACAGUUAAGCGACCGCGCUAGAACUACGGAACCAGGGAAUGCCUAACACCUUCUUCCCGGUCAAUAGAAUUCCUUGUUCGGAUUUAUGGUUCGCAUAUUGUAAUACUGAGUCAUAUUUUUCAUCGGUUCCGGAUUCAACCAGUGACUUGGGACACCAUUAAUCUCCCAAGUGGCGACUCUGAACUGUAAUAAUUAAAUCAGGUCGCGAUUGUCCUUUAAUUGGAAAAACUCAUUUACGCCUUCGCAGGGUGUAGGUCAUAAAGGAGGUGUAACAGCUCUGGUGACUUUGCUGGGGAUAAGAACCUAGGACAUUUUGUUCAGGGUUCAGAAUCUGAGCUUAGAUAAAUUGUUUUAUUUGGCUAUAUUUUAUUUUCCUACGUGUUUCAUGCUUAAUGUUAUAAAUGUUACCGUUUUUAUAUUAUUUGAACUGUAUACAAAUUGUGCCGACACCCUUCCUCUUUUUCCCUCUAGGGAUGUGCUUACUGGUUGAGACUCCCUAUGAUGUUAGUGUCAUAACCUGAAAUAAAAAGAGGCUGGAUAAGUUGCAAAGUCGGACGCUCUCGCGGCUCCCCGAUACGCUUCCCCCUCCUCGACUCGAGUUAUCCGCUCGGGUACACAGUCUAGAACACAUACCUAGGCUUUGAACCUAGAAUAAAGUGAAUUCAUGUUGGAUCCCUAGUAGGAACGCUUAUUUGCAUCAUAUUGCAUUCGACUUAGGGGACUCAACACAGAGGUUGGGUCCGUCUAGGACUAGUAACCUGAAAUGAAAAAGACCAUCCUAAUGCAUCCUACUUGUCCUGUAAAUAUAUUUGUUUUGCACCUGUAUGCUGACCGGUUUUUGAAUCUCAGGAAUAUUGGAAAAUUGAGAAAAAGAGGAAGAGAGAAAAGAGAGAAAUAUCAGUUAGGGAGAUUAUUGAUUAUUUUAGAAAAACCAAUGACCAAGUACUGUCGAAACUCUGCCGAAAGUUUGAGAAAAUGAAAAAAAGAAGGAAAAUGUUUUAUUUUGUUUUACUAAAAAGCAGAGAAAAAAUAGAAAAAAGUCUUUUAUUUUUGGAAAAUUGUUUGCUAAAAAAAGUGAAAAUAGUCUUUUAUUUUUGUUUGGAAAAAUAGGUUGUUUUAGUAUCUGUUGAAAAUGAAAAAGAAAAAAAGUCUGUUAUUUUUAUCUUUUAAAAAUAGGCUGUUUUAUUUGUUGAAAAAGAAAAAAAAGAUAACCAUCAUCGGGUCCAACCUCCCCUUUGCACAAACAGCCAAAAAAUGUCCAAAUUUUAAUUUUUAUCAUAAAUAAAGCAGGUGAUGUCGUUUUCGUCAAAAAUAGCCAAAUGUUCCCAAAAUAGGGCACCGGAAGGCUGACUUUAGAUAAACAGUCAUCUUUGGUCAUAUUUUGAUUUUGAGCCUCACAGCCUUAAAUUCUUUACCCCCGAGGCGCUGGAAGGCCGUGUUUUGCAAUGCCGUGUCAUUUAUUUUAAUUUGAAAAAGAAGAAAAAGAGUCAGCGGUCAAGUAAAUACUGUACGCAUUUUCAGUCAAAAUUAGCAUAUAGGGGAAGGAAUAUGUCAUUUUGUUAUUGGGUUUGUAUUUCUUUUGAUUAGAGUAUAUGGGUCCUUUGAUUUUUGAGUCUGUAUUUCCUCUUCAAGUUGGUUAGUUUUGGUGUUAUUAUUAAAUUGGAAAAUUCCAAAAAAUAUUUUAUUGUCGUUUACCUUUUGUCUGCAAGAACUACGCACGGUAUGAUUCAUGCGGAGUCAUGAUCCGUAGGCAAUCUCCAUAAGAUUUGACCACAACAAAAAAAAAUUAAAAAUGGAAAAGAAGAAUUGAAAUAAAAAAAUGGAAAAGAUGUUGUUAAUAAUGAAGACUAACACAAUCUAUUCUAACAUACUUUGUUUUGUAUUGUAACGAAAGUUAAGGUGGUUGGUUUGUGGUAACUCAUCCAUACAACACAAGGUCAAAAAGGAGGCAUUCAUGGCUGGCAAAGGGUUGAACACAUGUAUUACUGAUCCAUCUAGGGGUAUGUAUUUCCGAUGCCCGAGAUUUUGCACCAGAACCAAUUGCCCAAAGCUCUUCAUUUUGGGUCUCCCGGUGAGACUACGAAGCUUGCUAAAACAGUGAAGCGGGAUGAGAUAUCCACAAUGCUAGAAGGGUUUAAGAUGCUGAAUCUUAAAUUUCAUGAUGGGCGGGGAGAUCCAGUAGCCCACUUGAGGGAUUAUUGCAAUAAAACGAGGAAUGCUGGCAAGGAAGACGAGUUGUUGAUGUCAUAUUUCUGUGAGAGCUUGACAGGGGCAGCCUUGAAAUGGCAUGAUCCUUAAGAUGUCGGGAAGUGGCACAUGUUGGGCGACAUGGUUCAAGAUUUUGUGCAACAUUUUCAGUUACAACAAAGACAUUCUCCCAAACCAUUCCUCCCCAUCUCGGACGGAAAAGAAACCGAAGGAAUGUUUCAGGAAAUUUUGGGUCAGAUGGAACGAACAAGUUUCUCAGGAUACUCCUUCAAUUAAUAACAAAGAUAUUUUUGAACCACGCCAAUUACAGAUCCCAGUGGUCGUUCCUGCCAAGCGUAUUCAGCCUUAACUCCAAUCCCAAACCUGUCCUCGAGCCUCACCUAUACUACCUCAGCAUUUUCCUCCCGACUAUGGACGAUCAGGUGUCCAAACACUAGGUCACUCCCACUGCAAAUUACAUGGCCCGAUGGUCAUUCUUGGUAAAUGCAUUAAUCCUCAAUACCGACCACAUAAAAGUACCCAAACUCCAUAUAAGCCACCUCAAUACUAACCGCCGAAAAACAUCCGGCCAUAUGUCAAACCACCAGGUCAUUCCUUCCAACGGCGACAGGGUCCAGUGGCUGUUCUUGCUAAGCCCCACAGAUAUCCUUGUGCACCAGAUCACCCGCCCCGAUGCUACGUCCUUGGAUCAUGUUUUCGGCCAAAUCAGGCAUUUAGGUAUUAGAGGUUGCGAACAAAGAAAGCCUACUCUCCCUUGGGAAAAUCAUACGCUAAUCUGUUCCCGAGGCUAAGGAGUUCGGGCGUGUUGAAGCCUAUACGGAUAAAAGUACCAAACCAUCUUUCAAAGAAGCUGGAUUUUUCCCAAAGGUGCGUAUAUUUCUAUAUGCCUCGGUGCAUGAUACAGAAAAGUAUUAGAGGUUGAAGAAAGAAAUUCAGGAGCUUAUUAAUGCAGGCGACAUCAUCGUGCCAAAUCUAGAUGCAGUUGACACCAACCAAAUUUCAUCGCAUGUGCAAAAUGAGACGCACAUGGCAGAUAUGCUUGACCUGGAAAAGUUAUUUGAUGUUCUUAGUAUUGUUGAUGCAGAAUUUAGUGGCUAAGACACCGUGUUCGGUAAUUGGAAAGAUGCGCUUUACUGAGUUAUCUGGGGAGGAUCUUUGGUUGUCCAUUUUGUUGUCGUCCGGGUUAUUUGUAGGGUUCUAAUCCCUAUAUUGUCUUGUGAUCAAACCCUCUUAUCCUUUCAUUUUUUGUCUAUCUUUUUUAGUCGUAGUGGUUUGUUUAGGGUUGUCCAGCUUUGUCUCAGUUCAUUCUAGGGUUGUAUUCAAGUUUUUUUUGUUGUUCGAACUUGUUCAUCGUUUGUCUAAUGCAAAUUUUGAUCUUUUGUUACUCCCAAUCAUUUUCUUGGUUAUGUUCUUUUCUACCAUUUUUUGUCUUUUUUCAAAUGUUGGUUCUAGUGACAUGACAUGCACGCAUAAUUCUCCCGUCUGAUCUUGAAAAGUUGCAAAGCAUUGAGACCAUUUAAAAAAUGAUAUGUGCACUUGAGGAAAUAAUAAUAGAUUGGAAUGUUUUUAGAUUGUUUAAUGCCCGAACCAUAUGAAACUAGGUCAAACAGAACAAGUCGGCCAAAUUGACGGGGGGCGUACGUGGUAAUAAGAGUAAGACUGUGCUCAAUGGCACACUAUAUCUGACAGAUGUAGAAGGAAAAUGUGUGGAAAUGGCCUUCAACUCCGCUAUUCUUUCAGGAAAGUUAGUUCGGCGGAAAGGAAUCGGAGAUAAAAGAGCUCUGUUUCCCAACAGAUUUGCCUAUCGGUUAUGGGACGUUCGGGAUGAAGCCAAUCAAAAAAAAAGAAAGAAAAGUUCGAUUUUGAUAAUAGCUAUUCUUAUGACACAAGAGCGUUCUGUUCCGAGACUGUAGUGAAUUGAUGUGGUCAAGAGUUGAUGUGUAUGGUUUCUUUAUUCUGAUUGCACUUGUUUGUAUUUGGCAUAUUUGGAAGUUUGAAAUGACGAAAGCGUUUUGUUAUGCUAUCUAAACACUUUACCCUUUUGUCACCCUCUUUGAGAAUUAUUUGUUUUCUUUCAUACCCCUCUUUCGGAAUCAACGGCACAAUCAAAGAAAUACAAGUGCCGGAGAUAAGGAAAUGGAAAAAGAAGAAGAAAAUGGAAGAAAGGAAAAGGAGAAAGAAAGAAAGGAAGAAAGGAAAAUAAGAAAUAAAAAAGAAAAAAUAAAGAAAAGACUAGAAAGAAAGAAAAAGAAAGAAAAAGAAAAGAAAAGAAAUGAAAGGAAAAAUCAAGAAAAAAACAGAAGGAAAAGAAGAGAAAGAAAAUCACAACAACAUAGUUUCUUUGACAUGAACUACGUUUGACUUGAUCCUGAAAGGUUACGUAGGCAGCAUUUCUCAGAGGUUCAGUCAUACCAAAAUAAAAAUCAAGAAGUCUCAAGCAAGAAAGUGGGGCAGAAGUUGUGAUUGUACUGAGAAGUUGGAUUCCGAAAGUUGUAGUUUUAACCCCAUUUUAUAUUAUUUUGAGCCUUUAUAUCCUUUCUUUCAAACCUUAUCCAAAAGCCCACAUUAAAGUCCAAAGGAAGACCAUCCUAUCAAUCUUUGAGAAAUUUCAAGUCAAGUAGGUGCCGGUAAUUCAUGUCAGGGGCAACACUCCGGUCCAAACAAGAAAAAUAUAAAUGAUAGAGUCUUAUUGAUGAAAAGCCUCAGGGGUUUCACAAGGCGAGAAAGCUGAGAGAAAUAAAAUCAGAGAGUCUUAUUGGUGAAAACCUUCAUAGGCACCUUGAGGCGACGAUAAGAUAAGAGAAAGAACAAAAUGAGAGAGGCUUGAUGGUGAAAACCCUCCGGGCACCACAAGUCAAAUAAGGACAGCGAAUCAAAUUGGAUAAGCGGAGCAUUGAAGCCCAGUUUCACAGCGAAAGGUACAACAAGAGCUGAACGUCAGGAUUGAUUAAUAGAAUGUCUACAGGUGUAUGUCACGGUCAUUAGAGUUGGUAUCCUCAUUUGAUAGGUUUCUACAUCAUAGUUUUCCCUUUAGGAUUCACCUCGUUCUUUUUCCUUCACUCUGUUCCUCUGUUUUGUUCAUUUCCCCUUUUUGAGUCUUUUGGUCAUAACAAGUGAGAAAUGAUUUCAAAAUUUGCCACCAGCUUUCCAAUAAUGGGGUCUGGCUAGCAUAUCAAAUAAUCACAAAUCAAGAAAAACAACAGGAGCAUUGAGCUGGUAAUAAUCAACAUGCUUUGGGGAUCCCGGCGAAACACAAAGUUUGGUAGAUGUCGGUUCAGGAGUAAUGCAACAGAUGGAGGGUAUUGGGUUUGAACGAAGAAUAGAUAUUUUCUAUGACAAGGGUCAAGCGAAUGAGCAAAAGACUUCACGUUUAAGGGGCUAGGGGUUGUGAUUUAAGAAGCAACAACAUACUGUGGGGGCAAUAGACGCAAUUUGGGAAUUUAUGAAAGAUUCAAAGGUUAGAAAAAUGCCAGUUCAUGAACGGUGUAAUAAACAAAAGAUAUUGGAUAUGAAUGGGGAAAAGGUAUUUUGGUGGCGCAGAUGACGCAGAAAGUGAUUAAUAAGUAAAUAUGCAAGAUCUUCCAGAAGAAUCAACUGUCAUAUAAAACAUAUGGGGCUAGAUAAGAAGAUUAGAAGUAAUAACUGAGAGGUAGUCGUCAAGAAGGGCAGAAAUUAUUACCCAAGUUUCAAAGAUGGUCGGACAACGCAAAGCAUGAAAGGAGAAAAGGAAAGUCAUCCCCAGCAGGAGUACCACAACGAACCACCACACUUUAAACUAACUGAAUUUUCUCUGAUUUGAAACAGGGGCAUGGAAAUGUUAUUGAUGGUGGAAAAAUAUGCUACAAGAGGAUUAUUCUGGGCAAUAGACGCAAUUUGGGAAUUCAUGUAUGACUCAAAGGUCAGGAAAAUGCCAGAUCAUGAGCGAUGUAUCAAACAAAAGAUAUUGGAUAUGAAUGGGGAGAAAGGUAUUUUGGUGGCACAGAUGACAGAGAAAGUGGUUAAUUAAUAAAUAGGCAAGAUCUUCAAGAAGAAUCAGCUGUCAAAGAAAACAUAUGGUGUCAGAUAAGAAGAAUAGAAGUAAUAAUCGAGAGGUAGUUAUCAAGAAGGGGGGAAGUUACCAUCCAUGAAUCAAAGAUGGUCGGACAAUGCAAUGCAUGCAAAGGAGAAAAGGAAAGUCAUUCCCAGCAGGAGUACCAUAACCAACAACCGCACUUUAAACUGACAGAAUUUUCUUUGAUUUGAAAUAGGGCAUGAACGUGUUAUUGGUGGCGGAAAGCUAUGCUACAGGAGGAUUAUCAAACUAGGGUAGAAAAGUUUCUUUCGUGUUGAAAAUUUUCUUGAAGUCGGAUACUCAUCUGAAGAACAUGAAGGUCAAUAAAAGUUUUUAAGAAAAGCGAAAAAACGAGGAGGUAAAUAGUUUUCAGGGAAGAAACACCAGUUUUAAGAAAAGUAAUUUUCGGAGGAUUGAAACACUAGUUUUUUAGGGAAGUGGUUUUUGAAGGAGGACAACACAAGCUUUUAGGGAAACAGUUUUCAAAGAAGUUAAUUUAAGAAGGUAUACAAAACACGUUUCAGAGGAAAAUUGUUAAAAGAAAAAUCUUAGUCUGAUGAAUUUUUCACUCAAGAUGAAGAAAGCUUAGUCAGUUGAAUCUUUCACCUAAUAUAAAUAUAUAAGUCCGAUGAAUCUUUCACCUAAGAUAACGGUAGAAAACCCAGUUUGAUGAACUUUCUCCUAGGAUAAUUUGAAUAGAAAGGACGUCAUAUUUUGAUAAAGGGGAAAGCAGAAGUUGGAAAAAUAAAUGAAGGCAUAAUUAAAAGAAAGGGAAGGCAGAAGUCGGAAAAAAGAAAGGAAGGCAUAAUUUGGGAACAAGAAAGGAAGGAAAAAUUUGAAAAAGAAAGGAAGUUGGAAUUUGAAAUAAUAAGAAAGUCUGGAUUCGAAAAAUUGGACCUAGUUUGAUGAUUUAUCUCCUAGGAUAAAAAUAUUAGUCUGUUGAAUCUUUUAACUUAAGAUAACAAUCUUAGUCUGUUGAAUCUUUCACCUAAGAUGAAAAUCAUAGUCUGAUGAAAUUUUCACCUAAGAUAAAGAUAAGAAUCUUAGUCUAUUGAAUCUUUCACCUAAGAUAAAAAUCUUAGUCUGAUGAAUUUUUACAUAUGAUAAAGAUAAGAAUCUUAGUUUGUUGAUUCCUUCACCUAAGAUAAAAAUCUUAGUCCGAUGAAUUUUUCAUCUAAGAUAAAGAUAAGAAUCUUAGUUUGUUGAACCUUUCACCUAAGAUAAAAAUCUUAGUUUGAUGAAAUUUUCACCUAAGAUAAAGACAAGAAUCUUAGUCUGUUGAAUCUUUCACCAAAGAUAAAAAUCAUAGUCUGAUGAAUUUUCACCUAAGAUAAUUUUUAAAUUUUAGGCUUUGAAAUAUUUCAGUCUUUAACCUUUAUGUUGUGAAACAUAUCAAUCUUUAAAUUUUCAAAUUUUGAGGUUGGGAGCCCGCACAUAUGACAGAGGAAUACAUUUCAUUCUUUAAAAUUUAAGUUUUAAUGCAUUUCAGUAUUUAAAUUUUCAUGUUUUGAGGUUGGGAGCCCGCUCAUAUAACAGAGGAAUACAUUCGAGUCUUUAUAUUUUAAAGUUAAAUUUAUGUCUUAUCACAAUUCAAGUUUUAAUUCUUAUUAAUAUAUGGUAACAAGCACCCAGGUUUUCAAACUAGGGCAGAAACGUUUCUUUGUUUUGUCUAUUUUUGUAAAGUUGGGAGCCCCCCUGUAUAACAACGGAAUACAUUAUAAAUCAGCAAUUUGAAGAGAAGGAACAACAUCUAAGUUGACCAGUUGAAGUAACAACAAGGGAUUUCACCGAGAUUACAAAACAAUAUGAGGCAACAAGAAAACACAAGACAACAAAGAAGUACAAGAGUAAGUUUGAACAAUCUAGAUAGGACUUUUGUAAUUCAUAGAGCAUAUCUAGUUUAGCUUCUUUUAUCUUUGAGAUGGUGUAAUAAGGAAGGUCAGCGAGCAGUAGCAGCAGCAAGCGCAGUGAAAUCGUAGCUCCUAGUUGUCGCAGCUACCAUACACUCCCAAACUAUACUAACCUGAUUCCUGUUUAGCCCAGGAUAUGUAGGCCGCCUCUGAAGCAGGGUGCGGUCAAAACGUCUCAAAAUGCUUUACAACGGAAUAUUUGAGCGGGCAAAAAUCGCUCAUAGUUGCUCACUUAUCUUUUCUCAAAAAAUCUUUCAUGUUUCCGAGCAAAGAGGGGCAGCUGUGAGCACGUGAUUUUUGCCCUAUAUAGGAAUUAUUCCUAAAUAUUCAAAGAAAAUGAUUUUUUCUUUAUUUUUAAAAUUUUUAUGAAUUUCGUGUCAUUUUCUAGUAAUUGUUGCAUUUUAAUUCAUAUGAAAAAUACAAAAAAAAAUACAUUUGCUUUUUUUAUUUAAUUUCCCAUUUUUAAUAUUAAUUAGAGGUUAAGUUGUUUUAGAACAAAAUACAAUUAAAAAUCACAAAAAUAAACCACUUUUGCAUUUUAGUCGUUUUAAUUGAGAAUUUGUCGUGAAAUAGUUUUAAAUAAUUUUAGGUGUUAAUUAGUUUAGCCUUGAAAUAUAUUAGAAUUUUAGUUUUAUUUCUUGCACAUCAUAAAAUAAACAAAAAACAAGAAACACUAAAUAAUAUAAAAAAAAAAAAGCAAACGAAUUGCAAGAAAGAAAAGACAAAAGAAAUAAAAAAAAGUGGUCUUUUGAAAAGGGACCAAAUUUGGGCCUCCCAUGGUCCAAUCUAAUUUACCCCACAAUAAUGCCCAACCGGACCCUGGCCCAAAUCACACGCCCAGGCUCAGCAAUUUCUCCAACCCGAUCCAGUUCCUAAACUAGCCGAAUGACGUCGUUUGGCUUUGAGUUCAAUCUCAACCGUUUAUUGAUUUUAAUUCAACGGCCCCGGACCGUCCAUUGUCGUUUAAUAAAAAUGUCUGAUGAUAUUCCUAACCCUACACGACCAAACUAGUAUUCAUCGUACUGUUCUAUAUCUCAAUCGGUGGAGCCGCCGUUAGUGAACGUCACCUUCUCCGUUCAACCCAAAAUUAACACCAUAGUUUCUCCUAGUCUUCCUUAUCUCGAUUCCCUGGUCCAUUUCCUUCAAAUCCCGCCCUAUAUCAUUGAAUAUUGGAUCAAAGUAUCUCCGUCCAUGAUGCCACUUAUCCCAAACGACACCAAAAUAACACCCUAGGGUCGCCCGAGCACCCUCUACACAACCCUCAUAACAACUCAUCUCGAAUCUGGGAACUGCCCGAAUAUCAAUUUUAAUUAUUCGGACAAAAAUACUAAAUAACCCAAUCUUAAUUGAGUGAGCACAAUAAGAUCCCUAACACUUCCUAAUGGGAAAUUUAUCGUCAUUAGAGUCCAAACAUCGUCUGAAUUUGCUGAAUUUGGGAAAGAAUUUGAUCGGAGUCUUGAAGUUAGUUGGCGAGUCUUCGAGUUUAGUUUCUUUUAUUAUCUUUCUCUUAAUAUUCACUGACCUUCUAUUGCUAUGUAGCUUCUUAAUUUUGUUUAUUAAAAUUGUUAGUCUGAAAUUAUUGACUCUCCUUUGCUUCUGUUUCAUUUUGACCCUUUUCUACUUGAAUCAUAAUUAGUUUUAAGUGUUAAUUGAUAUGCAUUCUAUUAACAUUUAGAUUUGUUUCGAUUUUGUUGCUUGAAUAAUGACUCAUUAUUUUAGUCUCAGUUAUAGUUAUGUCUAGUUAGUAAUAGCCUGAGAUGUUAUUUGGUUAUUAACUCCGAUUAGGUUCAGUUGGUUUCAAGCUUUUUGAUUGAAUGGCUUAGUUCAUGACCAAUUGAUCACUUUGCUAUGUGUUCAGUUUGAUAAAGUUUGUUAACUAGAUAAUUAUUGGUAGGGGGUUAGGAAAAGUAAUUUUAGAGGUAUUAAAGGGUAGAUUAGGUAUUUGAUAUUGGUGAGAACAUGGUAUAUCACACUAGAAUAGUGUACACCAUUCUAGAAUAGGACCCUAGUGAAUAUCUCAGUAAACUCAGGGCGUUUCCUUUAAUAACAAGAUUAAAAAUGAGGGACAACAACUAAAAAUUAGGAGGGACUAAAAGAAAAACUGAAAACCUGAUCUUUGCUUCACUAAGAAGUUGGGGAGCCCCAAAAAUCCCCCCCCCCCCCCAAANNNNNNNNNNNNNNNNNNNNNNNNNNNNNNNNNNNNNNNNNNNNNNNNNNNNNNNNNNNNNNNNNNNNNNNNNNNNNNNNNNNNNNNNNNNNNNNNNNNNNNNNNNNNNNNNNNNNNNNNNNNNNNNNNNNNNNNNNNNNNNNNNNNNNNNNNNNNNNNNNNNNNNNNNNNNNNNNNNNNNNNNNNNNNNNNNNNNNNNNNNNNNNNNNNNNNNNNNNNNNNNNNNNNNNNNNNNNNNNNNNNNNNNNNNNNNNNNNNNNNNNNNNNNNNNNNNNNNNNNNNNNNNNNNNNNNNNNNNNNNNNNNNNNNNNNNNNNNNNNNNNNNNNNNNNNNNNNNNNNNNNNNNNNNNNNNNNNNNNNNNNNNNNNNNNNNNNNNNNNNNNNNNNNNNNNNNNNNNNNNNNNNNAAACCCCCCCCCCCCCCCCAAAUGAUUUCCAAUCUGCAAAUCUAGAGUUAAAAAUUCAAAUUCCAAAAAAAACCAAAAACAAUAGAAUAUCCCAGAAAAACUCAAAAAUAAAAAACAAUGAAAAAAUCUGAUAAAAAACCAACAGGUUACUGUUUUAUUAGAAUUUAAGUUUAAUUUCAAGUUAUUGGAGUAUUUGCCUUUCAUUUUUGUACUCAAGGAUCUAAUAUUGGAGUUCCUAUAUUAAUUCUUAGAAGCAUGAAAUUUCAGACGUGUAAUUGAUUUAUUUCGAAUGAACUUCGGUUCAAGCGGGACUGUUUUAGGCUAUUUUUUAUCUGAUGAUUUCACAAUUGGUUCUAAUUUAGUUUUGAUGUCUGUCUAGGUUAUUUUAUUUAGUUUGAGAUCAGUCAAGGUCUUAUUGAGUUUAAGGUCUAUUGAAAGCUUCAAGAAUAUUCUGGGUUCAUUUUUCCAGUUUGUUUGAUCUAUUUUGAUACUGUGAUUUCUUCGAAUAAAUUCUUGGUUGGUUUUUUAUAAUACUUGCUGGUUUAUGAAUUGGAUUCUGUGGUUGCUUGACUACUGACUCUCUGUUGAUUGAUCCUCACUUAUCCUGCACUCUAUUUUUCCAGGUACUCGUUUGGACCUCUGUUGUAACUUCGAGUUCGAAAUAUGGUAUGAAACUUCCCUUCUGCUUAUUCUACUUAAUUUUAUGUGUUUAAUUAUAGCUUAGUUUAAUCAAUAUAUGAAUUUUUGAUCUGAUCUGUAAUUAAAUUGGACUGAGUGGACUGUGCAUAUUUGGAUAUUUGAACUCUUAUUUUUGCUCUUUUGUUCUGAAAAAAUGUCAAGUGGAUAGUCAUCGCUAUUGAUAAACUCAUUUGAUUUAAUUUCGAUGUUUAUAGAGGUGACUCGAAUUGUUGUCAAGUUAGUUUGGUCACUUGUGAAAUAACUGUUGUUGUGUUUCACGUAUUUCAGAACAAAAUAGAAGGCAUUUGAGUAAACCAACUGAAACAAGCUUUGGUACUUUCCUGUGCUUAAGUAUAAUUACAUGAAAUAAGUCUGGGUAAUUGUUUCCAUUAAAUUGUUGUGUUUCUUCCAAGGUUUUGGGCUCAACAUGCCCUCUUCAAGAGAUAAAAAUCCCAGUGCACCGAUGAGCAGCCCAGGUUUUUGCUCUUUUGACGUGCGUAUGCGUUUGGGCCCGCUCUUUCUGUGGCCCAAUGUUUGGCUUGAGUAUCAAGUUACUAUUUGAUCGACUUCAGUCCGGUAACAAAUUAGUUAGCACCUUUAUUUUGUGUUUUCUUCAGAGACGAAUAAAGAUAAAAUUACAGUUUUCUUUUAGGUUUUCCGUUUUAAAAUAAAUGAGACGAGCCUCACCGAACAAAAAUUAAUAAAUGUGGGGCCCUCAAUAAAUGGUUAUUAAAAAUAAUUAGAAUUUGGGUGGUGCAUUUAGCGAACUUCAUGGUCUUCCCCAAAAUAAUAUUAUGUUAGAAUCAUUAGGCGCGAUUUAAUUAAGUUACCUUCCUAAAUACGGGUGCACACUAUGUGACAAAAAUCUAAAUCUUAACGGAGUCAGAGUUUCUUGACAACUACGGGUGCAUUGAUUGUGACGUUGUUCGAGACGGAUUUUCACGACGUUGCAAUUAGAUUAAAAUAAUUUAAAAUGUGGUUUACGAAUAAAAGGAACAUAAGCUAGCAUGUAUUAAAAUUAGAAAAAAUCAAAUACAACAGUUAAGCGAUCGCGCUAGAACCACGGAACCCAGGAAUGCCUAACACCUUUUCCGGGUUAACGGAUUUCCAUAUUCAGAUUUCUGGUUCGCGGACUGCAAUAUAGAGUCAUAUUUUUCCUCGGUUUGGGAUUCAACCGGUGACUUGGGACGCAAUUCAUCUCCCAAGUGGCGACUCUGAACUUUAAUAAAUAAAUCCAGUUCCGAUUGUCCUUUAAUUAGAAAAAUUCCUUUACGCCCUUGCAGGUGUAGUGAAGAAAGAGGUGUGACACCUUCUUCUUGAACAAAUGCUGGAGGCUAUGAUGAUUAGUAAAUACCUCACAAGACACACUAUAGAUAAAGUGCCUCCAAAUCUUUAAUGCGUGAACAAUGGCAGCCAAAUCCUAAUCAUGAACAGGGUAGUUCUUCUCACGAGGCUUCAAGUUGCGCGAAGCAUAGGAAUUCACUCUACCCUCAUGCAUAAAAACAGACCCAAUACCGAUCCGAGAAGCAUCACAAUAUACUGUAUAAGAACAAGAAGUUGAUGGUAGGACUACAACUAAAGUUGUAGUCAAGGCAGUCUUGAGCUUCUGAAAGCUCUCCUGACACUCAUCCGACCACCUAAAAGGAGAACCCUUUAAGGUUUAUUUGGUCAAGGGCGAUAUAAUAAAUGAGAAAACCUGCACGAAACAAUGGUAAUAACCAGCCAAACCAAGAAAACUCCAAAUCUCUAUAGGUGAGGAUGGUCUGGGCUAACUCUGAACUACCUCUAUCUUUUUCGGAUCUAGCUGAAUACCCUCACUGGACACCGCGUGCCCCAAGAACGCCACUAAAUUGAGCCAAACCUCACACUUGGAGAAGUUGGUAUAAAGCUUCUCUUCCCUCAGCCUCUACCAUACAACCUUCAAAUACUAGGCGUACUCCUCCCAACUACGAGAGUACACCAAUAAAUCAUCGAUGAACACAAUAACAAACGAGUCAAAAUAAGGCCAAAACAUAAUGUUCAUCAAAUGCAUGAAUGUUGUCAGGGCAUUGGUCAGCCGAAAAGACAUCAUGAGGAACUAAUAGUAGUCAUAACGGGUACUGAAAUUUGUCUUAUGAAUGUCCGAGCCCUGAAUCUUUAGCUGGUGAUACGCAGACCUCGUAUCAAUAUUGCAGAACACCUUUGCUCCCUAAAGCUGGUCAAGUAGAUCAUCAUUUCGAGGAAAGUGAUACUUUUUUGUGAUUGUGACUUUGUUCAACUGUUUGUAAUCAAUGCACAUUCUCAUAGUACCAUCUUUCUUAUUUAGAAAUAGAAUUGCCGCACCCCAAGGAUACACACUAGAAUGAAUAAACCCCUUAUAUAGGUGUUCAUGAAGUUGCUCCUUCAAUUCCUUCAACUUUGCCAAUGCCAUACAUUACACUGGAAUAGAAAUGGGCUGACUACACGUCACCAAAUAAAUACCAAUGUCAAUAUCCCUGUCCAGCGGCAUGCCCGACAAUCUGUAGGAAACACAUUAAGAAAAUCUUGCACCACCAGAAUAGAAUCAAUUGUAGGGGUCUCUGCAUUAACAUCCCUUACAAAGGCCAAAUAAGAAAGAUAACCCUUCCCAACCAUCUUCUGGGCCUUCAAGAACAAAAUUACUCUAUUGGGAACAUAGUCUAAAGAACCUCCCCACUCAAUCCGUGGAAACCCCGGCAUCGCUAACAUCAAAAGCUUAAAAUGACAUGGUGACAGUACAUCCAUACCCAAUAUCACAUCAAAAUUAACCAUACUAAGCAGCAACAUAUGAACUCUAGUCUCUACUUCCUAAUAGUCAUUAUACACGAUCGAUAUACGCGGUCCAAAAAUUGUAUCGCGCACCAACAUAGAUAUACAAACAUGUGAAACAAGAGACUCACGGAGCAUGCUAAGAUAAUGAGCAAAUUAUGAAGACACAUAUGAAUAUGUGGAACUGGGUCAAAUAAUACAAAAGCAUCUCGAUGACAUACAGAGAUAAUACACGUGAUCAUUGUGUCUGAAGAAAUGCCAUCUGGUCUAUCAGGGCAUGCAUAGAAAUGGGCCUGACUGUCACCUGAUCGGCCUUCCCCUCUAGGGCGAACUCUAACUGACUAGGUGGGUGUAGCUACUGGCCCUAGUGUCAUCGGUCGAGAACUCUUUUGUGGAGUCCCGCUCAACAGCCUAUGGAAAUCUCUCUUGAUAUGACCAGGAUCGCCUCCCUUGAAGUAACCUAUCCUUUAAUGAAACUUCUUCUCCUGAUACCACGAGGAACUACCUGUAGAAACUAAAAAGGACGAGACAUGGUGAGAACUUUGCGCAUGUUAUGUACUGAAUGAAGUCUGGUCUGAGUGAGAAAUUUGAGAAUUGUGGCUAACUGAUACACCACGAUGAAUAGGUCUAGUUGUUUGAGCCUGUCAAUAGAGACAACCGGUGUCGUGCUGGAACUGACCCCCAAAAGGAACACCACCAAAACUACCUGAUCUAUGAGGCCUAUUGGCCUCCCUCUCAACCAGCUCCUGGCGGAAGACAAACUUUAUUUCCCAAGCAAUGUCAUCAACCUUCUCAAAAGUAGACCCAGUCACUCUCUCUCCCUAGUCAUAAGCACCUGCAGCUGAAGUGUAAGGCUAUAAAUGGACGUCUUGAUCCUCUCCCUAUUAGUGGGAACUAGCCAAACCGCAUGACGGGCCAACUUAGAAAAACUCAACUCGUACUGCAUCAUAGUCAUGUCAUCCAUAUGCAACUGCUUAAACUUCAUGCGCGGCUCCAGUCUGCGAGAUUGCGGCACAUACUUCUCCAAGAAGAAAAUAGAGAACUCCUACCAUGCAAGUGGCGCUGCACCAACUAGCCUACGCCUCGCAUAAGCCUCCCACCAAGUGAAAGCAGCUCUAGCUCCCAACUAGUCUCUAAAAUACCUGUUAUACGGAGGAUCCUCUAACAUUUGUCCAAGAAACCCUAAGCAUCCUCUCCCUAUGCACCGUUAUGGAGCCUUCAAAACCUCUCCAACCUACGAUGCUCAUCAUCAGGCAUGACAGGAACCACAUAAUCUUGAGCGGCUGCAACCGGUUAGGUUGGUGCUGCCCUCGUUGUCUGGGGUCCCUGCAUCACCUGCUAGGGUGUGCGGGCAGCUGGAGUCUAAGCACCUUCCUCAGCUUGAGAAGUGGCAGCUGUGGCCGAAAUAGAGACCUCUUAAACAAAACUGGUGGAACGGCUAAAAUCUAAGCUAAGGCCACUUGAAGGUCUGCAUGAUAAUGGCCACAACAGGUUUCUGAGCUGGUCCAGCUAGUGUAUCCAUAACAGGGACCUGAUCCUGAACGGUGGCAACUGGUGGAUCUGCAGGUGCUGCCCUAGCUGCUGUGCGAGCUUCACCUCUAUCCCAACCAUAGCCUCUACCGCGACAUUGGCCUUUCGCAGCUCUGACUGGUGGUAUUUGUGGCUAUCUGUCCUGCCUAGUAGCACGUCUCUUCACCAUCUGUGAGUGAAUAUAAUAACAGAUGUUUAGUUACAAGAAUCAAUAGAUUCACACGAUAAAAAUUCAACAAUGUGAAGUUUCCUAGGGGUUCUGCAACCUCUAAAAGAUAAAGACAGGAGUCUCCUUACCUAUCAACAUGACUCUACUAAACCAGCUCAUGACUCGUAUGAUCUAUGUAACCUAGGCUCUAAUAUCAGCUUGUCACAACCCAAAGCUCUAACUUGUCGUGAUAGCAGCUAUCAAUGGUACUAGGCAAGCCUAUUUUUAAAAUACUUUGAUAAUUCAUAAAUAAAAUAAACGAAAAGUCAUAAAAUAUUUGUAAUAAAAAAUGGAGUUAAACUCAAAACACAAUGCGGAAAGAUAGCCCCAAACAUCAGGGUAUCACCAAGUCAUGAGCAUCUAGACAACUAAUCUAAGGAAAAAAUGUAUACAAGAGUCUUUGCCAACAUGUUAAUAUAGAAAAGAAAGAUAACAAAGAAGGAGAGACAAUGACUGCAAAUGCCGGCAGCUACCUUGUAGAUCUCGGAUACUCUACCAUGCACGAGCUCAACGUCCUCCGUGAUCCGACACACUUUGACUUGCACAUGAAGUGCAUGGUGUAGCGUGAGUACAACAAACUCAUUAAGAAAUAGAAAUAAAUAAGGAACUGAGAAGCAGUGACGAGCUAUACAAAUAUGGUUCAUUCCAGUAAUUUUAGUAAGAAAUAGACAUGCUUUCAAAUCAGGUAGUUUAAGUCAAAUCCAUAUUAUACAGUUUCAAGUUCAAGUAAACCGGAUAUAAAAUCUACCAGAAAAUUUACAAUAAGGACAGAUAUCAACUAGGUGCAACAACAAGUGAAAAACAAGUACAACCUCUCAAGGAAAUAGUCACUCAACUAAACUUAACAGCUCAAUCACUCGUCUCUCAGCCUUCGGUACUCAGUACUCAUUCUCAAUAAGUACAUAUGCCUCAGUGGGUGCUGUACACAAUUCGAAAGGGGCUCAUACAGUCCAAGCGCUAUAAUCCACACAGACGACUCACAUGCUGCACAGGAAACUCACUAGCUAUAAUAACAUAUCAAGAUCCACAACGACAAUUCACACGUUAUAAUACAAAUAUCUGGAUCCGCACAAACAGUUCACGUGCUAUGGUAUCAAUUUCUCACCAUCAGGCCAUCGUCCUUACUUACUCUAUGUACCUUCCUAAUCUGUCAGGCUCUCAUAAAUCAUAUAAAUUAGCCCAACAGAGGUAAAACAUGUUUCAAUAGGGAGCAAGAAGAGAUGGAGGUAUGAGAUAAGAAAUAAAAUUCAUGAAUGAGUACAAGAUAACAAGUAGUAGCUAAAUCAACAAGUGCACGACCUAUGUGGGUCAGAUUUCUAUAAAACAUAGGGAACAUGUAGUUGACAGUGAGCUAUUUGACAUUAUAUUCUCACAAGAUGGAUCAAGUCAUAUAUCCCUUGGGUGCACGCUCACACGCCCAUCACCUAGCAUGUGUUUCACCACCAAAAUAAUCACAUGACACAAGAUCUGGGGUUUCAUACCCUCAGGACCAGAUUAAUAACUGUUACUUACCUUAGUCCGAGAAAACUCUACUCCAAAAUUCCCUUGCCUCGUAAGUCAGCCUCCAAAUGUCCCUAGUCUAGUAAUAAGCAGUACAAUACAAUUAAUAUAGGCUAAAUGUAUCAAUUUCACAUGCAAACUACUAAAUUAGAUCCAAAAACCUAAAAUUGGCUUAACCCGGCCCCCGGGCCCAUGCCUUGAAAUCUGUCAAAAGUUAUGUAACCCAAAAACUCAUUCACUCAUGAGUAUAACCAUACAAAAUUUAUUCAAAUCCAAUUAGAAAUCCCAUUCAAACCCUCAAAAAUCCAUUUUAAGAACACUUCCUCUUUUCCUCAGUUUUCCAUCUAAAAUUACAAAUUAGAUGAUAAAAUUAAAGAUAUAGUCAUGCGAUUUAACAAAAACCAAGUAAGAAUCACUUAUCCCGAUCAACUCCACGAAAUCCCUUCAUGAGUCGCCCAAAUCAGUGGUCUCUAGCUCAAGAUAUGAAAAAUAGGUUCAAACCCUUGAUUUUAAAAUUAUUACAGUCCGUGCAGAUUCCCUUCGUCGCGAUGCGAAUGUCCUCUCUCGUUCGCGUAGUCAAACUAAGUCUGUCCCUCAGCUUUACUCUUUGCAAUCGCAAUCGAUACUCCAUGAACAUGAAUAUUUACCAGCUUAACCCAUCCUGAACGUGGAGAAUACCUCGUGAACGCAAAGACCAAAGACCUGGGGUCCUCUGCUGCCUAACUUCUCUUCGUGAACGCGACACUGCUCCUGCAUUCGUGAUUCACGCUUAGAUAAAAUUUUCGUGUUUGCAUCCUCUUCUUCACGAACGCAAAGAACAAAAAUCUCCCAACUAUGAUUAACCGUUCACGAACACGAUUUUCCUCUCAUGUUCACAACAGCAGAAAGUAGAUGAAAAUACCAGCAUAUAUCAGCUAUAACUCAAAGGCCAAAAAUGAUUUGUUAACAACCCGAAACUCACCCGAGGCCCUCAGGAUAUCAAUAAAACAUACCAUCAAGAUCCAAACAUCAUACGAACAUAGUCAAAUCCUUAAACCACCUCAAACAAUAUCAAAAAUUAGAAUUACACACAGAUUCAAGCCUAAUGAACUUUGAAAUAUUUGAGUUCUACAAAUGACUCCGAAACAUAUAAAUUCUCCACACAAGUCAUAAAUGAUACCAUGAACCUAGUCCAACUUUCAGAAAUCUAUUCCGACUCUGAUAUCAAAAUUUUUACUCCGGUCAGAUUCGCCACGAUUUUAACUUUUUCCAGUUCAAGCGUAAUUCUACUACGGACCACCAAAUCAUAUUCUGUAUUUACUAUUAAGUCCAAAUUACCUAAUAGAGCUAAUGGAAUCAUCAAAAUUCAAAUCUGAGGUCGUUUACCCAUAAGCCAACAUCCGGCCGAUUUUUUUUAACAUAACGUCCAAUUAAGAGACUAAGUGUCUCAAUUCACUCUAAAAUCACUGCAAACCAACUAACCCGGUAUGUCUUAAUACACCUGUGAAACAAAAACGGAGCAGGAAAUAGGAAACGAGGCUACUACUCUCUGACCGACCGGCCGGGUCAUUACAUGCUCAUCAAUGAAAAAAUGAAUCAUUUAUUGACUUCAUCAACCAUUAGAGAAGCUUAAGCUUCAACUACUAAUAACUUGGGCUCGUGAUAUGAAACUAAGUAUGGCCACAAGCGGAGACCAAGGGUUACCUAUCUUUGAGCCUUACGAUGAAGAAGAAGAAUAAGAAGGUGAGGAUAGGUACAAGUUCUAAUCCAAAAAUGGAGUCGAAAUGCUGAUGCAUGUCACUAAGCACCUCAAAGCACGAGCCUAAACUACAAGUUAUAAUGCUCUUCAAUGCACGAGCCAAAAUUGCACGUUAUAUGCUUCUUGGCAUAUGAGCCUAUAUUAUAUGUCAUGAAGCUCCCCAAAUAUGAACUAAAUAUUUAAGACGUAAAGCUCUUCAAAUUAGACCAAAGUGUUCAAGGCGCAAAGCUCUUCAAAUUCGAGCAAACACUCAAGCUGAAAGCCCUUCAAAUUCGAACACAGACUUCAAGUCACAAAGCAUUUCCAAUACGAGCCAAGUUUCAAGUUCCAAAGCUCUUCAAAUUAGAGCCGAACUUCAAGUUGAAGUUAAAAAAAGUUUCCUAGUCUUCAAGUUGCAAAGCAUUUCGAACAGAAAGUUAAAUCUUCAAAUUACAAUUCUCCAGGACACACGAACCUAAACUACAUGUCUUGAAGCUCUUCAAAUUUGAGUAAAAUCUCAAGUUGCAAAUCUUCUCAGCUUAAAUUGUAAGUCGCUGCGCUCCUUAAUGUAUGAGCAUAAACAACAUGUAUCUCCACUAUGCAAAAGUAUAAACUAUUUACGACCCAAAAAAAAAAAGCAAACAAAGGUUAGGUUGAAAACCUCAAAAGAGUCUGCAUAAGUAAAAGUUAGGACAUAAGAAAAAAUAUAAGAAAACAAACUCACCCAUUCUGAACUAUAACAUGACUUGAUCAUCUUCACUGAAGCACGUAAGCAACUAAGAGUUUGAUUCUAUGUUCAAUAGCAUCAAAAUAUGUAUUUCCCCUAGCAUUGUUCGAAUUGAAGUAUAAUGGAAUAUAAUCCACUUAAUUGGCACUUAAAAACCGAACUUGCAUGUAUUUUUUUAUUAAACUCUGUGCGUUAUCGGAUAUUGGUGAUUUAAUAUGUUCAAGCCUCCAUAGGAAAAUGACAUAUCUGAUGGGAUAGUUAUAUUAUUAUAGAAAGAGGCCAAGAAUUCAAGUUGAAGUCGACAAAUCCAUCGGUUUUCAAGCUGAAGAUUUAAGUUGGCAUGUCUUCAAGUUGAAGUAUCCAAUCACUCCAAGUCUUUAAGUUGAAGUUUGCAAGUCCUCCAAUUUUUCAAGUUCGUUAAUUCUUCAAGUUGAAGUUUUCAAGUCCAUCGCUCUUAAAGUUGAUGUUUCAAAAUAUGACCAAUCUAAGUCUUAAAGACUACAAAAUUUUCAAGUUUUUUGGUCUUUAAGUUGAAGUCUACAAGUUCGCCAAGUCUUCAAAGUUCGCCUAGUGUCCAAGUCAAAACCAUCAAAUCCUCUAAGUCUUCAAGUUGAGGAUUUAUAAUUUUUCAAUCUUAAGGGGCAUGCUUAAGUCCUUUUGUACCUUAAGUUGGCCUCUUUGCGGGCUUUUCCUCAAAAGAACUAUAAUUAUCCAUCUUAAGAUGGACGUUUAAGUCCCUUUAUACCUUAAUAUAACCUCUUUGCGUGUUUUUCCAUAAAAUAAGCUAUUAUUUUUUAAUCUUAAGGUGGACGUUUAAGUCCCUUCGAACCUUAUGUUCGGGUCCUGACCUAAAUCCCACAAUAGAUCAUGAUGACGCCCAACGAUGAUGAUAGGCAAGCCAACGCUUGAACCUCCAAAAUAAUUAUCAAUUUUAACGUUUAAAAUAAGAAAUUUCCUCAAAUAAAUAGAGUUAAAUCCUAUAAUCUUUAAUUUGCAAGAUGAAAAGCUAAGAAAAGCCAUUAUCAAAAAGUUAAAAGAUCUCAACUUUGCUUUAAGAAGUUAGUUGGGAGAAGUAUAUCUAAUUGUUGCAAUAAACAUGAAAUAUAUCAUUUGUAAAAUCUGAACAUUAAUUAGUUAAGUUAUGUAGAUAACAUUUUCAUUUUUUAUUUUUACAAUUAGUUAAUUUAGGGUGUUAUUUUAUUAAAAUAUUAUUAGAAAAUGCUGGUCAGCAGGUUGUAUCUUUAUAAAAAAUAUUCAAUUUCUCUUCAUUCAGAUUCAAAAUAAUUUUAUUACUAUAUUUCUAUUUAAAUUCGAAAAGAAUCUUACCUUUAAUUUAAAUUAAAUUGCAUAAUAAAUAUUAUUCUAAUUUUUCAAGUGGCUUUAUAAUAGCUUGACACUUGGCUUAACCACAGUAUAAAGUUUAUUCCUUUAAUAUAUAUAUGUAUNNNNNNNNNNNNNNNNNNNNNNNNNNNNNNNNNNNNNNNNNNNNNNNNNNNNNNNNNNNNNNNNNNNNNNNNNNNNNNNNNNNNNNNNNNNNNNNNNNNNNNNNNNNNNNNNNNNNNNNNNNNNNNNNNNNNNNNNNNNNNNNNNNNNNNNNNNNNNNNNNNNNNNNNNNNNNNNNNNNNNNNNNNNNNNNNNNNNNNNNNNNNNNNNNNNNNNNNNNNNNNNNNNNNNNNNNNNNNNNNNNNNNNNNNNNNNNNNNNNNNNNNNNNNNNNNNNNNNNNNNNNNNNNNNNNNNNNNNNNNNNNNNNNNNNNNNNNNNNNNNNNNNNNNNNNNNNNNNNNNNNNNNNNNNNNNNNNNNNNNNNNNNNNNNNNNNNNNNNNNNNNNNNNNNNNNNNNNNNNNNNNNNNNNNNNNNNNNNNNNNNNNNNNNNNNNNNNNNNNNNNNNNNNNNNNNNNNNNNNNNNUAUAUAUAUAUAUAUAUAUAUAUAUAUAUAUGUAUAUAUAUAUAUAUUAAGAAGCUGAUAAUAUCUCCAUUUAUUUAUUUUAUAAUCGAUUAAGAUAGGGUAUUAUUUUUUUUAGAAAUAUUUAUGAGUUAAGAUUGGGCAGCAGGCUGUAUCUUUAGAAUAAUAUUCACUUUCUUUAUAUUCAGAUUCAAGAAACUUUUAUUUACGUAUUUUAUUUAUAUUAGAGGUCCUUAAUUUGCAAGAUGAAUGUAAUGACUCGGUUGGUCGUUUUGAGAGUUAUAGCCCCAAUCUCUUAUUUUCUGCAUUACCUGUAUCUGUUUCAGCUUGUAUGACUUGCCGGGAGGCUUCGUUUGUGGUUUUGGAGUGUUUUGGGACACUUUGUCCCUAAACGAAAGCUUAAGACUUCGGUUCUUUGUUCGUAGUCGGAACCAUGGGAAGACGACUCCGAAUGGAAGUCUGUAGCUUAUUUAGGUUUGAAAUGGUGAAAAUCAAAUUUGAGGAGAUUUUAAUCAGUAGUCUACUUUUUCAUAUCGGGAUCGGAUAUCGAGUCCACAAUUUGGAGUAGGCCCGUAAUGUCGAACAUGACUUGUGUGCAAAAUUUUGUUUAAAUCGAACGUGGUUUGAUAGGUUUCGACAUCGGUUGUAGAAAUCUAAAGUUUCAAGUUAAUUAAGUUUUGAUUUGAGGGUGAUUCGUAUUCUUAGUGUUGUUUGAUGUUAUUUGAGGGAUCCACUAAAUUCACAUGGUAUUUUAGGACUUGUUGGUUUGUUUGAUUGAGGUCCUGGGGGCCUCGGUUUGAUUUCAGAUGGUUAACAGAUCAAAUUCUUUUUACAAAGAAUAGCUGAAGCUGCUGCAACUUGUGUAAUUGCACUAGCGCAAGAUUGAAAGCAGGUGAGAUCUCUUAGAAGCGAGCCUAGGGAUGCAGGAGUUUCUUUGAAGGAAAAUGCCAGACGUAGUAGGUGGGCAGGAAUAGUCGCAUGUACGAAGCCGUAGAUGUGGAUGAUGGAGCGCAGAAACGGAAAGGCCAGGGGCAUAAGGGAUCGCAGAAGUAGAGGACGUCGGCAGAUGCGCACGCACAUAUGCGAACCACUGAUCGAAGAGGCAGAUGCCAAGUUUUAAGUGGAAUCCGCACCUACGAUGGGAAAUCUGCAGGGUGCAGUGACGCAUGUGCAAUUGCAGGUUUGCAGAUGCGAGAUACCGUGGUAGAACAGGGCUAAGUGACCUAGAGAGCUCGAAUUGAGGCAAAAUUUUUACGGAUUUUAUGAGGAGGCUUAUAGGUAACGAUUCUUAACUCUUUUAUGGUUAUAUCACAUUAGUUUAUAGUUGAUUCUACACUCUAAUUAAGGAUUGGACUUGGAAAUUUGGUAAAAAUAGUAACAACUUUCUAGACUACGUUUUUGAGAUUUGGAAGGCAAUUUGAGGUCGGAUUUGAGAAAUUCUUAUACGGUUGGACUCGUGAGUGAAUGUUUGUUCGUAUUUCAUAACAUUUACCUGACUCUGGGACAUGGGCCCAGGGAGACAUUUUAGGGUGAUUUUCUAAUUUCUCACUUUAGCUUUGAUUUUAUUAACUAGAUUAGUUUCUUGUAGUUAUAUUUAUGAUAAGUAAUUGAUUUUGGAUAUAUUUGGACCAUUCGGAGUUGGAUAUUCGUGGAAAAAGCAUUGUUACGGAUUGAUAUGAUCUUGAUUCGAGGUAAGUUGUUUGUCUAACCUUGUGAGGGGAAAAUCCCCUCAGGAUUUGGUGUUGUUAUGACAUGUGAGUGUCGUGUACUCAAGGUGACGAGUGCGUACACAUGCUAUUUAUUGAAAAACCUAAUUUUUACUGAGUAAAAGCAUGUUUUUAUCUUAGCCUAGUAUUAUCUUGUUUAGCCUAGUAUUACAUGUCUACUUGCCUUAAAUACUUAUCUGAACUCUAAGCAUCAUGCAUAGCAGAUUUCCUGCUUCUUCCUUUAUUUGUGUUACAUUCCUCAUUUUUGUAACAUUUAAAAUGUCGUAGUAAAUGAAUCGGCGUAUGUUUGGGAAUGAUAUUAAUUUGAGAUUAUAAGCACUAUCCUAUUUUAUAUAAUUUAUGAGUAAAUUCGUUCAGUUGAGAGGGUAAGAAAAUUGAAGAAGAUGAAUUUCAUCGAAAUAUGAUAUUUUGGGAUAAAAUACGGUCCAAGUUAUCGUAUUUAUGGACUACUACCAUAUAAAAUACCACAUAACCAUGAUAGUAAGAUAUAUAAAGUUUGUUGAAAGUGAGUACUAUUUUGAAAGAAUAACUAAGAAAUUAAAUUUUUUGAAUACAGCUUAAAGGGGCACCAUCUUCAGGUGGCACCAAGAUGAAAUUGGACCCGAAAAUAAAACUGGUGAUCUUGGACUAAAAAGCAAGGUGGCAUGUUAGGAUGAUUCUGGAAAAUGAUCCUUACCAAGUGUGGGCCCACACCCACUUAGAUAAAAGGCCUCUUAUGACCACCAAAUUGAGGUUUAUGACUACAUGUAGUAACAUAUCUCUUUAUAUUUACUACAUUAAGAGAUGCAUACAACAUUAUCAACUAUCUCUUUAUCAACAAUUAAUGGGAAUUCCUUGUCACGGUUCCAACUCUGACAGUGAUAGCGUCCAGCACAUUACUAAGCAAGCCCGACUAAUUUAACAAACUUAACUAUUUCUAUACAGUUUAUGAUUAAUUAACACAGAUAAAUUACUAAGUUAUAAUACUGGAAAUCUAAAAUAGAGUUAAAACAUGUGGAGUCCCAAAUAAUAAUACUACUACAUAGCCCGAAGAAUCUGGUUCAUAAGUCUAAGCCUCUAAUACAUGACUAUCAACCUAGUACAUAUCUUUCUAAAGAUGUACGGAAUGAAGUAAUAGGAUAAAUGGAAUAUUAGGGAUGCGGACGUCAAGCUGCUACCUUGAUGCUCCCGGAUAUGUGAUGCUCCUCAGCAGUCUCACAUGCACCUAUAUAUACACACAAGGUGCAGGGAGUAAUGUGAAUACUCCGACCCAGUGAGUACUAAACACAAAUAAAGGUUGAGCAUAAGAAAUAAUGGAUAGACACAUUAUAAUCUAUAAUACAGCAGUUUAAACCAAGUAGAAUAAAAUCAGUAAACCAGUGAAAACAAAAUAUGGAAAUGGUGCAACAGGUAAGUGAAUAAAUGAAAGUCAAAUAAGAAAUGCAACACAUAGUACGGUACUCUCUAGUACCCUCUGCGGCGUGGAGCCCCCUCCCUUUAUUUAUCGUCAACAACACUCACUGGGAGUGUGCGAACUCUGGGAGGGGCCACUUAUAGCCCAAGUGCAAUAUCAAGCCAUUUCAUGGCAUCAACUAGGCCCUCGGCCUCAUAUCAAUAUCAAUAUAACACUACUGCGGUGCUCAACCCGAUCCCACACUCAGUCCAGAAUCACAUAAGCCUAUCGGGAAAUAGUAAUAUAGUAGUUCUCAACCCAAAACAUCAUUAGAAACAUCUUUUAAGUUUCAAAUCCGAGAAAAAGUGGCUGAGUUUGCAAAACUAUUUUAAACAAUAGGACUGGGUUCAAAUAAUGUGUCAAAAUAGUGAGGAAACUGUAAUAACCAUUCCCGAAGGGUCCAAAUAGUUGGCACAAAGCCUAAAUAUGAUAAUUAGUCUGAAUAACAAUGAUAUCAAAUAAACUUCAAUCAAAUACAUGGUAAAAACAUCACUCGGGGAGGACUAAGUCCCAAUCCCCAGUAGUAAACGACCCUGCGCUCAUCAUUGAGCGCGUGUUGCACCUUAUUAUAGAACUACAAUGUGUAAAUCCGGGGUUUCUAACCCUCAUGACUCAUUUCCAUUCAUUACUCACCUGAAAUGAGCCAAAACUCUUGAUCGUUAUGGCCUUGCCUCUCAAAUUGGCCUCCCCGCACGUUGAAUUUGACCAAAACAACAACAAAUACGUCACAAUAUGCUAAGGGAACAAAAUCCAAUCGAAAACAAUUGAAAAAUAUCAAAAAUCCUUAAAUUAGCAAAACGUGAGCUCUGGGCCCACUUCUCAAAACUCGAUAAUUUUAACAUCAUUAGACUUCAUAUCUCCCCACGAGUUUAUAAACAUCAAAAACAUAAGAUUCUGAGUUCAAUUGACCCUUCAAAUCCUUAAUUUAUGCUAUCUUAAGUUCAAGCCCUAAACUACCAUUUUUGUCCAUUAAUUACUUACAUUUUCAAUCCUAAUUCAUGAAUAACAUCAUGAAAUUGAGUUUUAGGCCCAAAAAUCCUUACCUUAUUGAAGCUCUUUGAAAUCCCUCUUCAAAAUCACUCAAAAGCCACCAUGUCCAAAGUCAAAAUGAAUAAACCCAUCAAAAUUUGCGAAGAAGAACAUUAAAUUCUUCUUCCUAGAUAUAACCGCAUUUGUGGUAAAUUUCACGCUUCUGCGGUCAAUAUCUCACAUUUGCGAAAAUUCAUUAAACUCCGCAUACUGCAUUUGCGGCUCUGUAGGUGUGGUCCUUCUUUUGCAUCUAAAGUCGCAGGACUUUCACACCAUCUCUACAAAUAGUGAUGCCAUUCACGUAUCUGCGAUGCCACAAAUGGGGUUCCCCAGUCGCAGGUGCAAAAAUACAAACAGUAGCAAAAUCUAAGAUUGCACAACUCUAAAACUCUUCCCGUUAGCCAUCUGGAUUCACCCCUAGGCCCACGGGACCUCAACCAAAAGCACCAAUACAUUCUAAAACAUCAUUCAAACUUGAUCCAAUAAGCAAAACACCUCAAACAACACCUAUACAACAGGAAAUCGCCAAAAUAUUAACUUCACCAAUUCAAGCCUAAUUCUACACCAAACCUCCAAUAUCACAUCCGAUUACACUCCUAAGUCACAAAUCAUCUCCCGAAGCUAACCGAACCACCGAAAAUCACAUCUAAGUCCUCUAACUCAUAUGUCAACAUCCGGUUGACUUUUCCAAACUAAGUCUUCCUUAAUGAGACUAAGUGUCUCAAUUCCUACCAAAACAAAUCCAAACCAACUCGACCACAUAUGACACGGAUAACAAAGCAUAAGAAAGCAAGAAAAUGGGGGUUGGGUCGUUAAAUCCUCCCCAACUUAAACAGACGCUCGUCUUCGAGCAAGUCAAGAAAUAUACCGGAAGCUUCAAACAGGUGAGGAUAUCUGCUCCGCAUCUCUCGCUCGGUCUCCCAGGUAGCCUACUCCACAGGACGACGUCUCCACUGCACCUUCACUGAAGCUAUAUCUUCAACCUCAACUUUCGAAUCUGACGACCCAAAAUAGCCACUAGCUCCAUAUCAAAAGUCGAAUCGCCAUCCAACUGAACCGUGCUGAAGUCCAAAACAUGAGAUAGAUCCCCAACAUACUUUUGGAGCAUAGAAAUAUGAAAGACCGGAUGCACGCCCGACAGCUGGCUGGCAAGGUAAGCAUAUAAGACACAUCCCCAAUCCUCCUAAGUACCUCAAAAGGCCGAAUGAACUGUGGACUCAAAUUCCCUUUCUUUCCGAAUCUCAUAGAACCCUUCAUGGGCGAAACUUUCAGCAAGACUUUCACACCAACCAUGUAAGACGCAUCUCGAGCCUUCUGGUCCGCAUAACUUUUUUAAAGUGACUUAGUUGUAGGAAGUGUCUCCUGAAUCACCUUCACCUUCUCUAAGGCAUCGUGAACAAAAUCUCUCCCUAACAACCUAGCUUCACCAGGCUUGAACCAACCAACUCGAGAUCUACACCAUCUCUUAUACAAGGACUCAUACGAUGCCAUGUGAAUGCUGGACUGAUAGCUGUUGUGUAGCCAAACUCUGCAAGCGAUAAAAACACAUCCCAAGAACCACCGAAGUCAAUAACAAUUGCACACAAUAUGUCCUCUAAUAUCCAAAUAAUACGCUCAGACUGUCCGUCUAUCUAAGGAUGAAACAUUGUGCUCCACUCCACCUUAGUAUCCAAGUAUCGCUGAAAAGUCUUCAAAAAUUGAGAAGUAAAUUGAGUACCUUUAUCUAAGAUAAUAAACAAUGGAACACCAUGAGACCGAAUAAUCUCUCGAAUAAAGAUCCCUGCCAGCCGCUCGGAAGAAUAGGUAGUACACACCAGAAUGAAGUGCAUGGACUUGGUCAGCCAAUCCACAAUCACCAAAAUCGAAUCGGACUUCGACCACUCACAAAAUCCAUAGUGGCUCUCUCCCACUUCAACUCGGGAAUAACCAUCUGCUGAAGUAAGCCACCAGGUCUCUGGUGCUCAUAUUUCACCUGCUGACAGCUGAGACACCAAGCCACAAAUCCCACAAUAUAUUUCUUCUUUCGUCUCCACUAAUUGUGCUGCCCUAAAGUAUGAUACAUCUUCGCGACACGCGGAUGAAUAGAAUACGGCGAGUUAUGGGCCUCUUCCAGAAAACUGAUCCACAUUGGGCAUAU
rnacentral:lncRNA from 1 species